CACACAACUUAUUAUCAAUGUUUGGAAGCUUCAACGUGAUCCACAUGUCUGGGAAGAGCCUUGUAAGUUUCAGCCAGAAAGAUUUUUGACAAGGCACAAGGAUAUUGAUGUCAGAGGACAAAAUUUUGAAUUGUUACCUUUUGGUAGUGGUAGAAGAACUUGUCCUGGAGUUUCAUUUGCCCUCCAAGUUAUGGAAUUUACACUUGCUGCUUUACUUCAUGGCUUUGAUUUUGCAACCCCAUCAAAUGAACCGCUGGACAUGGGAGAGGGACUCGGGUUGAGUAUCCAGAAAGCUAGACCACUUGAAGUACUCAUUGCUCCACGUCUUUCUGCUUCUUUGUACGGCUAAAUUGGAUCUCAAUACAAUCAAUCUAAUAAACUUUUAUAACAAGUAUUCACGUAUUUGUUUGCUUGUAUACUCUUGCUUAUUACGCCUUCUUUGUAUUCAUUAUUAGACAUGAAUAUCUAUUGUUAAAUAAAGUUUUAUCAUGGCUAAAUUGUCAGGUGAUGACUAUCGGGGCAUCCUAUGGUGUUCAAUCUGAUGUGUUUGUCUAAAAUCAAUAUAUUAGGUAAGCACUCUUAUCGGGACUCAUUUUAAUUAAUAAAGAACCCAAAACUAGUUAUGUCAAUUAGAGUGCUAAAAAAUGCUGGUCUAGUGUGCAACAUCAGUCACUGGAUCAAAAUCAAUUAAAUAAAAUUGACUAGCCGCCACUUGUGUUAUGUAAUAGCCUAGUGGUACCUUUCCUAUUAACAAAAGUUGACGGAUGUGUGUCAAGACGCUAGUUCGCUUUCCAUAAUUGGUAGGAGUGAAUUUUCUCUCCUAGUAGUAAUGGAGGUAUACAUCUGUAUUAUGUUUAUAAUACAAUAGAAGUACAUUAAGCCCACUAGAUGGUAUAUAUUUCCUUGAAGUGGAGAUAAAAAACUGGACUGUAUUAUGUAGAACUGACUUAGGUUAGUUGCUAUUGGAUUUUAGAUUGUAUAGUCCCAAUAAAAGAUAUAUAUUUCCUCGAAGUGGAGAUAAAAAAUCUAGAUUAUUGUGUCAUAUAUAACUUAUUUAGGUUAGUUACUAUUAGAUUUCAGAAUGCAUAGUUCCGAUUUGAUCCAAGAUCUUGAACUUUAUUAAAGUCCAAGAAAACUAUUAAGCCAUAUAAUUUAAUAGAAUUAUACCAUUAUACGAUUAAACCUCACAGCUUCAUAACUUCCUCGGACUUUAACAAAUUCAGGAUCUUGAAUUGAAAUAUUUCCAUCAUAUUGUGUGUGUAUGUUGUAUAAAGUAAACUUCUAAUUGUAAAGACAUAGAUGUUAAAAACAUAAAACUAUCUGAAUACAUAUAAUUGGUGUCCUUAAUGAUCGUGAUAGAUAAAAUUCUCUAUACUAUUAUUUAAAAAAAAAAAGGGAAAAAUCCAACCGUAGUCUCAAAAUUUGCUUAAAUAGUUACAUAGACUUUCUUAGUUUUAUAAUUGGUCAUACAUCCCUUUGAACUAUUAUGUCUUUUGAUUAUAGCAACCAAAAAUUAACUUUAAAUAAAUUUCUAUAAUAAAUAAAAAUAAGAAAUUAAAAAACGUAAUACAUAAAAACUAAAAAAUUUAUGAAUUAUUUUGAAUAUUAAAAAGUUAUUUUAAUAUCAUUACUCUAUCAUUUUUUUAAUAAUAAUAAAAUCUCUUUGAUAGAUUAAUAAUUUUAAGUUAAUGAUAUUUAACAUUCAAAAAAUUGGAAAAUAUUUAUUACGUUAUUUACAAUAUUUUUUAACUAUGUUUAUAUUACUAUAAAUCUUAAUGUUAAUUUUUGAAUUAAUAGAUUUUGGAAUUAGUAAAAUCAAUCGGGAUAGACUGAUAGUAGUUUAAUAUCAAAAUAAUUUUUAUUAUAUAUAUUUCGUUUUAUUAAUUAUACUUAUUAUAAUAUUUUAUUUGUAUUAUAUGAUAUUUUAUUUAUUAUUUUUAUCUCAUUAUUAUAUAUAUUUGUAUUUAUUUUUAUUAUAAUCAAAGGAUAUAAUAAUAAAAAGGGGUUAUGUGGCUAUUUAUAAAACUAUUGGAGUUUAUAAAAUUAUUUAAACAAACCUUGAGAGUAUAGACAGCUUUUUCUCUUUAAAAUACCCCAUUAUUAUAAUAAAAAAAAUAGACAUGCACAAUAUCCUCGAUUUGUCUUGAAUGUGAUUGCAUAUUAACCUCACCACUGCUGUACUUGGCAGAAGAUUGCAACUUUCUUAAAAACAUUAUUUCGUGCAUCAAAUAUAUCAUCUUUUUUUUUUCUUUUUGAUACAUAAGGACUUAGGUAAAACUAGGCAACAACUGAACGCGAGUACGCAGUCCCGGAGACAUCAGGUAAUAGCCACCCUUUAGUUCUAGUUAGAGGAAUUGGAAAAAAAAAUGGAUCCCAAGAGGCAAAAAGAGAGUUUAGCUGGUGAGGUAAUCAGCUACAAAAUUGAUUUCAUGAUAGCUAGCAACAGAGAUACCUACUAAUCCCUGUUGAGGAGUCCGUUAAGUCCCUCAUUGGGAUGACUUUUCUUCGUGGCCAAGAUCUCAGUGAUGGACUGAAUAUUAACUUCAACUUAUAGUUGUCAAAUCCCAAUAUUCCAAGCAAGUUGCAAACCUUGAAAUAAACCCCAAGGCUCUGCUCCAGUAAUAGUGCAAUGGCCAAUAUUCAUACCAAAACCAUGAACCCAUUCCCCACAGUAAUAUCUAGUGAGGCCACCUGCACUUGCAUGGCCUGAAACCUUUCCACCACCAUAUGUAUUAAUUAUNNNNNNNNNNNNNNNNNNNNNNNNNNNNNNNNNNNNNNNNNNNNNNNNNNNNNNNNNNNNNNNNNNNNNNNNNNNNNNNNNNNNNNNNNNNNNNNNNNNNUCCACAGAGCAACACCCAAAAUACAGGGUCAUUUUUCAUCUCUCUCAAUCAUCCCCAUGUUCUUAAGAUCGUAUUAGAUCAAAUUCUUUAACUCAAAUUCAAAAAAAUGAUUCCAUAAAUUGUUAGGGACCAAUUUAAGCGACACCUAUCAAACGAUAUCACAAUCCAUGAACACAUGAAUGUGGUAUGUUCAAGGUGGUGGCCACGUUGGUAGAAAAUAGCAUUUGAGGUAAUGUAUCUUCAAGAGAGCUCAGACUUAGUUUUUAGCCUAUUACUUAUAGCGAGCCACAUCAAGGUUCUGAUACUUUGAGGUCCAUUGCAUUUCUAACCACAUUCUAUAAAGAGUUUUUGGCCAUAAUACUCGUGAAUUGCUCUGUAUUGGAGUAAGCCUAGUCACAUUGAUCUUCACCACUAUUAGUACAAAGAGCUUUAGCAAAGUUUAGUUCAUGAUUUGCAAUAAAACAGUAACAAAAAUCAUUAUAAUUAUCAAAUACAUUCCCAUAAAUAAAUAAAAACAAGAAAAUAAGAUGAGAAAUUGAGUUACAGCUACUUCAAAUUUAUUAAUUAGUUAACUUACUCAGGAAGGUAAAUUUUGGCGGUUUCUUUUAAGAUAAAUAAAAAAGCUUAAAAUUGACAAGCAUGUUCCCUCUAUAAACUGUAAGUAAUAACGCUAGGAUUACGAAGUUAGGAUUAGGAAAAAAAUUUUGUACUCAAAAUGAAGUGUCACCAUUUAACGACCGUCAUGUGCUAGUUAAAAAUAAUAAUUUUUGGAUUAUCAUUAAUAAAAAUAAUUUCAUAACACUAAUUAAUGUAUGACACAUCAAUUAGGAUGUAAAUUUUGUAUCUCAACUUUAUAAAUCUAAUAUAAUUUUGUUCAAAUAUAGUACUCACUCCACCAUCUAACCUCAAUCGGACUAAAUUUAUUUAAAUUCUUUAUAUUGACUUUUUUUUUUUAAUUUAUUUUGGUCUGGGUGUGGUUCGGAUGGAUGUUAGUGGUUAGAUAAGUAACAUUACAAUUUUUUCUUUCUUUUUUUAUGAACUCAAUCUACUCUGAUUUUCUUGCACUUUCUUACUGAUUACCAAUUAGGUUCGAUAAAAAUGUUGUGAACUUUUAUAUAGGUAUAAUAUAAAUAAUAACAACUCAAUUCUCAAUUCGUACAUGUGAACGAAGUUCGCAACUAGUAAAUCUUACAUCCCCUCUAGAGAUUUUGCUAAUAGAACUACCCGCUAAUAAUAUAGUUGCUCACUCAUCAAUACCACAAUAGUUUGUAUAAGAAUGCGAGUUGAUAUAUUACUCAGGUUUCGCAAAAGCAUUCAAAGUAAAUGCUACCAUUUUUUAUGACAUGCAACUGGAAAAUUAAGAAAUAUUUCAAACCUAAUAGCAAAACAUAUGUAAAAUGUAAUGUGCCUCUGGAAUAACUCAAUUUGCAAAAUAACUUCAACAGACUUCACAUAAAACGUAUAACACCUAUAAGAAUCCACCAAUAUCUUGAUAACAUUAAACUGUUCUGUUUUUAAUAAAAUUAUCAAUUAACUACUUCCUCUUAUUUUGUACACUAUUGCACAAUAAUAAAGAGGUGUUAGCAAGUUCAGAAUUCUAUUGUCUGUACAGCUACAUUAUCACCACUACCCAUCCUGUUUUCCAUUUAACCCACUAUUUGUUUCAAUGCAGUAGCAUCGCCAGUUAAAACACUUAGUGCAGCAGCAUUGCCACUUAAAACACUUAGUGCAGCAGCAUUGCCAGUUAAAACAAUUAGUGCAGCAGCAAGGUCUCAAACAUUUUGGAAUGCAGCAGCAGGGUCUCAAACAUUUUGGACAUUUAGGCCACCGGCAACAGUUGACAUAGCUUGGUAUCCAACAUUUUGGCCAUUUAGGUUUCCAGCAACAUUUCGUGCAACUAAGUUUUGGACAUUCUUGGCAUUUGGGUUGGCAGCAUUUAAUUCUACAGCACCUGUUCGCAGACCCUGUGUUGGUGUUGGACCUUAUACUUAGUUUUUGUAAUCUCUCUUCUUUUUUCCUUGCAUCCUCUGUUGCGGCCCUCAAAUCUCUCUUCUUCUCUCUGUUUUCCUUUUUGUUUUUCUCUAUUAUUUUUUUUGAAUGACGGCCACCUCUUUUUUUUUCCCAUUUGUGCUAUUUUUAUAUCUUGAAAUUAGGGCAACCAAAAGCAUGUGGUUGCUUGUCUCCCAUUUUUGGAAACCUUGGAUCGCAAUUUUUCAAUUAACACGCGCAAAAUCUCAUCUACAAUUACUACAGGAUUGCUGUAACAACGGCUACGACAUCUUCUCUAUUCUAGACUUGUCAGCCAAGUUUUUUGCCAUCUUUGCAAGUUUGCUGCAGCAGCAUUCCAUCCAUAAAAAUUUAGCUUUUUUGAUCCCUUGCAAUCAUGCACAUAAUCUGAGCACAAAGUGAUCUAAAACAAAAUUAAAUUUAAAAAAAUGCUCAUGCAAAAUGUAAUAAAAAAUGUAAUAAAAACGCAUCAUUUACUCUCUAAGUAAUAUUAAUUUAAGUCUAAAAAUGCCAUGAUAACUCUCAUUUCACAGAGUUAUCAAUGACCAAGCCUUUUAUGAAGCAAAUCCACAUUGACUAAUGAGAAGACACUGUCAUAGUACUUGAAGUAUAAAACUCAUUUUAUUUAAAGAACUGAAAUGACCAAAAUUAGAACAAGUUGACCCGUAAACCAGACAAAUAAGUAAGAAAAGGCAUUAGUUUAUAAAAAUUUGAGUAAAACAUAAUAGUUGUGGAUGAAUGUUAAGUUGAGACAAAUGUUGUUUAAACUUGAUAUAAGCCUUUCUGAGCAAUCCUCUUAAGCAAGAUAUUCCCUAUUUUCCUGGCCUUAAUGUAACAAAAAUCGGUAACAAAUUCAACAAACACAUUAUUAUCAGUGCGUAACUUGGAAACACUCAAUAGGUUUUUGGCUAUAUGAGGAACAAAAAGAAUAUUUGGCAGCAUAAUCGGAUCAUGAGUAAGUAGUAAGCAUAAUAUAUUUAUUAUAUGAAAUUUGUAAUCCACUAUCAUUAGCAACAAGCAAUUGAUCAGCACCAAUGUAAGGUUAUAAAUGAAGUAACAUACUUGUGUUAUUAGUAACAUGUGUAGAAGCUCCACUGUUAAUAUACUAAGAAAGAUCUUCUAUAGUCUAAGGUGGGGAAAGUGUAAGAGGAGAAGGUGUGACCUGCUUGGCUGCACUAGCAAAUGCACUAUUGUAGUAAUUGAAAGUAGCUAGAUUGAUAGUUAAAGAAGUAGCUCCAAGAUUAUAAAGACAACGAGUUAAGACAUGAUAUGAAUUUGGAUAAAUCGUGUUGCUUUGAUAGCCAUACCUCUGUGAUUAUACUAUUUCACUACAAGAAAACUGUUAAUAGAUGACAGACAACUUAUGAUAAAUUAUGGGUAUAUCAUAAAAUUAUGAUAGACUUGUGACAUAAUUUUCAAUCUAUCAUAAAUUAAUGAUGGCUUUGUGAUACAAUUAUUUUCUAUCACAGAUUAAUGAUGGCUUUGUAAUAGAAUUAUUUUAUAUCACAGAUUAAUGAUGGUUUUAUGAUAAAAUUAUUUUUUUUAUCAUGGAUUAAUGAUGGAUUUGUGAUAGAAUUAUUGUUUAUCAUGAAUUAAUGAUGGUUUUAUGAUAGAGUUAUUUUUAUCACAAAUUAUUAUUUUUUACUUAGCCAUGUGUCGACUUAUAAUUCGUUACUUCAUAUGUGAACAAUUACACUAUAUAAUUUCUAAAGUAUAAAAUGAAAAAGUGAACCCUAAAUCUAACCUAAUUAAACACACGUUAAGUUGUUGCUGCUGCUCCCCUGCUGCUCUUCGAUUUCAUUGCCGCUUCAGGAAGGAACAAGAGGAGUCCCCGUGCGGUUUCAGUGGAGAUGCCGGUGAUGGCGUUGGGGACGAGAGGGAGCUUGUACGAGGUGCUGAGGGUGGAGCCAAAGGCGACGAUUUCAGAGAUUAAGACGGCGAAAGUUUAUCAUCCCGAUUUGUCAGGUAACGGUCGGGAUUUCACCGAGAUCCACAACACUUACGAGACGCUGUUGGAUCCAAAGGCCAAGGCCGUUUAUGACAUGUCUUUGGUGAGUAGGAGGAGGACGAGAACGACAUCGUUUGGGUGUUCAGGUAGGUCUGGGUUUCACCCGACCCGUAGAUGGGAAACUGACCAGUGUUGGUAUGAAUUUUCAAUUUAGGGCCCGACAUUCUUGUUUAGGAUCAAUACCGUUCCUCAAAGGCUUUCCAGAAUUUUCCUCUCACGCUUUCCACGCUCGCUAUUCUCCUUCUUCACUAACAUCACUUGGGUUUUGCAGUUGUGGUGUUCUGUCACAGUCUAGUUCAGAUAUGCUUUUCACUGUGAUGUUGAUACCAAUGUUAUCUGGCUGUUCUAGAGUGAUAAAUGAUAAUCUUGUAUGUUUGUUGUAUUUAACUUUGAGUUAAAAUACAUGUCAAUGCUAUUAUUUUUAUAUAUUCAUGUGCAUUUUCUUUAGGUAGGGACUUUAUUGCUCCUUACAAGUGCAAAGGAACAUCCAAGUAUGUACACCGAGAAUGUUUGGAUAAUUGGCGAGCUGUAAGGGUAUUGAUGCCAUCUCAAUUUUCUGAUUUAGAAAUCUAGAACCUUUUGCAGUAAGCAUAGUUUAUAGUUUCUGUGUGAUCUCAGUGAUCUUUGCAUAGCUAGCACUUGAUUUAUUAUAGUCUGUAACUGGUUUUAUAUAAAAGUAUACCAAAAAAUAACAAUGCUGUAAUUUAUGGACACUCUAAACUUACUUAAUGGGAUAUAGAACAUACUGUACUGUUAUGCAACCUUUUGAAAUGCUAUCUUUUAUGUUUCUUAGUUUGUCCUUGCAAACAAUCUCCAUAUGGUAAUAUCAUUUUCGUCCAUUUAAGAAUUACUGCUUUGGCCCUUUUUGGAUUUUUCCCAGUAAUUUCUUUUCUAGGAAGACUUUUAUGAUCUUAAGCUGCAUUGUGGUUCUUGCUUUUAUCUAGAAUGGUUCUUUUUAUAUGUGUCCUAUUUUUAUUUAAUCAUUUUUUACUUACAGAAAGGGUUUGCAUUUGCUCAUUGCACAACCUGUAAAGCCCCUUACCAUUUGAGAGUUCAUGUUGCUGUUGAUAGGCGAUGAAGAACCUUGAAAUUUUGUUUCUUUGUUAUCUCUUCUCUCUUUUAGCACAGGUAUGAAAAUAUUGGUAUUAUUGGUUAUUGCUUAUAUUCUUCUUUGUUUUUUUAAUUUUUAAUGUUAUCUUUUUUUUUCCUUUUUUUCUCCUGUCUCUGCGAGAUGAAACUAUUGCUAUUACACAUACAAUUGAAGGUACAUUGGCUAGCUUAAAUUAGCCGAAGAAUUCUUUAAAUUCUAGACAUAAAAUAGUAGCUUAAUGUUAUUAUUCUGGUUGGUGUUUGAAUCAAUUUUGUUCACAGGAAGCUUGCAGGUCGCUUUGUAAGUUUCAAUUUCUAUUUAGAGUGCUAUCGGAAGAUGAUAUUGUUGCUGGAAUUUUUGUAGGACGUCUUGCUAGAAAUCUUAUUGUUGGAGUACUUGCAUUAAUUUUUGAAAGUUUUGUUGGGUAACUUGGCUUGGUGGCCAGAAUUCUUAUUGUUUUUCUUAGAGUUUGAUUGGAGUUUGACAGUAAUUUUAUACUUUGGGAGACUUUUUCAAUUUGGGAUGUUUUAUUAUGUAUUAGUGGAGAUCACAUUGGAUAUUAGAUGUAUUUAUUUUGAAAUUAAUUUUUGGAUUGAAUGAAUGUUAAUUGAUAUUAAUUUUUUAUAUUUGUUUUAUUAAUUAAUAAAAUUUGUAAAUAGGAAUUCAUCAAUAAAUUAUAAUUAUAAUAUAAUUUAAAAAAAUCAAAACUUUAUGAUGGAAAAAGCCAUCAUAUAUUCUAUCAUAAAUAGUUUCCCGCCAAAAUUGAAUAAUAAAUUUUCAAAUAAUAAUUGAAUUUCCCACCAAAAAUUUAAAAAAAAAAUCGUACAAAAAUUUAAAUAAAUUCAAAUUUUAAUUUAAUUAUUUUUUUACAUUAAAAUAUUGUGUGACAGAUAUAUGACUAUGAAAUACCAUCAUGAAUUUAUGACGGAAAAUAUUCUGUCAUAAAUUAAUGACAGUGACAUAGAUGAUAGAUGAACUGUCUGUCAUGCACCCCCUUUUAUGAUAGUUAUUCCCGUCAUUUAUUGUUUGUUUUCUUGUAGUGUUUAUUAAAGCCUCCGAUGACAUCAGUGAAAGGACUAGGAACAAAUCCCCUGCCAUGACCAUAAGUAGGCCUAAAACCUCCUCUACCUCCUCUAAUAUAGUGUCUUUGAAGUACAAAUGUAGGAUUAAACCUAUUAUUGGACUUAUUUAUCCCACAUCCAGGGAUAAACCAAACUUGGCCGAUGAUGGAGUCAAAAUUGCUGUCAUUUUUAUUAUUUUGUCCUAGAUUAGACAUGUCUCUAUUAAAUAAAUCUAGGUUUCUAUUAUUUUUCUAAUUUCCAAAACCAAGCUUAGAGAAACCUUAAUCUUUUUGGGCAAAAUUAGUAGCUAAAUUGGGAUAACAUCUGAACCGAGUUUUCCUCUCUUCUGUUCAAACCUCAUUUUAUGACUUAAGAAUAAAGCACACAAGUUAUCCAGAUUCAUACCUUUUUCCUCUAGCCAAUAAAAUUGUAAUAAGUGAUUCAUGCUUUUGAGAUUCUAAUCCAGACAAAAUAUAAGUAAAAAGAUUAGCAUGUUAAACUAGUUUACCAGUAAUAGUAAGUGCAUCUGCCAAUGUCUUCAUCUUAGUAAAAUAGGCACUUAUAGUCAUUGAUCCUUUUUUAGUGGUUCUAAUUGCUUCUAAUAGGCAUUAUAUAAGCUUGAUUUUGAGAAAGAAACAUACAUGUCAAAGAAUUCCACAGCCUUUGUGAUGAAACAAAAUGAAUCCACUACAAGAAAACAGACAAUAGAUGACGGGAAAUAAGAGGGGUUCAUGACAGACAAUUCUUUUGUCAUCUAUGUCACUGUUAUUAAUUCAUGACGGAUAAAUUUAUGAUGGUUUUUUACUGUCAUACAUCUAUCACACAAUAUUUUAAUGUAAAAAAAAAUUAAAAUUAAAAUUAAUUUAAAUUUUGCCAUUUUUAAAAAUUUUGGCGGGAAAUUCGAUUAUCAUUUGUUAAUGUAUUAUUCAAUUUCGCGGGAAAUUAUUUAUGACAGUAUUUGUGACGAAUAUUUUCCAUCAUAAAAUAAUAAAUUUUUUUAUAAUUACAAUUUGUUUAUAAAUUCCUGUUUAUUAAUAAAAUGAAUACCAUUAAAAAAACCUGAAAACAAUUAACACAUUCAUUCAAUCCAAUAAAUUAAUUUAAAAAAAAUACAUAUAUAAAAGGUCCAAUGUGAUACAUAUAAUAGAGCAUCUCAAAAUUUAAAAAACAUCUCAAAGUAUAGAACAACUAUUAAAUUCCAUUGCAUGUACAACAAAAGCAACUAAAAUUCCAACCAUCAAGCCAAGUUUCUCAACAAAACUUGCAAAGAAUAAUGCAAGACUUUCAGGAGUUCUAGCACUCUUAACUCCAGUCACAAAGCCAGGUUUGUCAACAUUCCAAUUCCAGCCAUGCUAGCAAUACUCCAACCAUAUCCAGCAACCCACCACCUUCCAACAGCACUUCCAGCCAUAUAUCCAGAAACAAUUCAACCCAAACCCAGCAAACCAUUCUAUGCAAAAUCAAUCAAAAUACCCAAAGUUAUCAAAUGCAUAACAUCUACAGUACAAUCCUUAAUAGCAACCAUUAUAAUUUGAUACUACAAAUUCAUUUCAACAAUUUGUAACAGCUAACCAUUUUGUUACAAAUUUCAUACUCAAUACUAACCAUUUUGCUGACGCAAUGAGAAUGUCAGAAAAAUGGUUAGCCCACUCCAAACGAACCUCAUCUAAUUCAUCCUGAGUGUAUGAUUUAUUUCCAUUAAACUGUUAAUCGUAAGAAAUAAUAUUGUCAAACUUUAAAAAUAAUGUCACAUGUAGGAAAUAAAAGAAUGUUGACAUAUCUCAUCAUCAACUUACAUUGUUGGUUAACAAACUAACAUCCACUAUUAUUUCCUUCAUGUACCUUAACACAAAAUAACCACACUCUAAUUUUGCGAUAUUUUGUUUUGGAGCCUGUUCAUGAAAAAAAAAAGAUGAAAAUUUACAAAACCCAUCCAUUUUAGUUAAGGUACAUAAUCAAUAGGCUACAAAAAUACUUUUUUUCUUUUUUUUUACCUUCACAAUUCUCAUCUUGGUAUUAUAAUUCCAUUUUUCCUUACCAUCCUCUAAUGUGAAGAGUGUCAUGGCGCUGGAAACAAAACUAUACUGUUAUCUCUUAAUCAUAUUGAAGAAACUUAAACUAUCAAUUGCAGGAAAUAGACUAGUAUACAUACAUUUUAAGGAGCUGUUCUAAAUCAGUUUCAGGUCUGGAUUGCAUAGGAUCCACAUAAAAUACUUCCUUUUUUACCACAUCAAACACAACUAAUACCCAAUGGUAGCUAUAAAAGCCAAAAGCAUAACCAUUAAUUAAGAAACAGCUGUGAACGUAAUAUGAAUUUAACAGCUGUAAAAGUUUUCAAUAAAAUUUAAACUUACGAAGGAUUGUAUGGCAUGAAAAUGAGUUGUCCUUUUUUGGCCUUUUUCAAGCGGUCGCGAAUAUGCUCAACUCUCUUCGAGCGAAAUUGUACUGCAGCCUUUGGAUUUGUUGGGCAAACCAAACUAGGACACAUGAAUCCAAAUGGUUUUGUUCCUUUUCUGGUUGGUAGAAUGGUAGAAUCCAACAUCCUUGACAGAAAAUCAGUGCAUCAAUAAAAAAGUAUAUCAAAUUGAUAUUAAAUAGUGUAAAGGAAAAUCAUAAAACCACUUACGCCAUAUAUACUUGAAUAGCAUUCACUCAUAGCGCUUGCAUUGACAGCAGAUCGUUGCAAUCUUUCUUCCCAAUAUAAGCACAAGCCUCUGUCUGGAAUACAUUAUCAUCAAUUAGAUAUGUCAGAACACCAUCAUUUUCACUAGGCAGGUAUUUCUCACACAACUUCCCAAAUAAUUACAAUAUCGAAUGACUAUUCUGGUGCUUGAGUAUCACCUUGUGUUCCUCAUAGGCUGCACUACAAUUUUUUUGGCUUUAUCCUUCUUCAAAAGUGCCUUUUUUGUUGGGCUGUUAGGAUGAAUCUCGCAUAUACCAUCAGCAUAGUCAAAGUCCAAUUGCUUUUUAUUGCUUCCAGCUCUUUUCCUCUCAUCAUUUGCACAAUCCUUUGGAAUUAAAGGAUUGAGUCUUGGACUUUUCCUUGAAAUGGCUGUAGUAGCGUUUCUUGGCGAGUUUAAUUAUAUGAAUAUUAAUUAUAUGAACUAAUAAGUUUAUUAAACUAAAUUGAAUAGUAAAUAUACAAGGCAGUAACUAUAUUAAACCAAGAAAAAUACAACUAAUUAUUUAAAUAAUCUAACCUUCUGUGCAUGGAGUUCAUUGUCAUCAUCGUAAUCAUCAUUUCUGGCUGACUUCAUCGGAAUGGCAGAAGACUUCAUCGGAACGGCAGCAGUGGUGUUUUUUGGCAUCUCUUCGUUCUUCUUAGUUUCUUCCUUCUUUCUCAGUGUUGAUAUUCUAGGUUGCUAUUCUUUCUGACUGGACAUCCAUUUCUUCUUCUUCUCAACUGACUUGCCUAAAUUUCCUGGCUCCUGUCAGCAUUAUUGGCAAAAAGUAAAUUAAACUGUAUUGAGUGACAGAUAUACAAAAAAAAAUAAACUAGGAAAAAUUCAGUUAAUUUUAUAAAUGAAGCAACCUGAUGUACAUCUUCCUCACUGUCAUUAUCAAUGCCUUUAUUAUGUGGGAAAUGAACUUCCCACAUCUGAAUGGCGAGGUGUCCUCUUCAAUUCUCUACAAAUUUCUUGCAACUGAGCAUCAACUGAUUUUUUCCAAGCAUCUAUCUCCCUUUCUCUAUCACUUCGGAUGGGUCCACGAAUGGUAUGAAAGUAGUUAGAAGCAGAUAUAAAUUUGCCCAAGCCUUGCAUAUGACCAGUUUGAGGAAGCUUUCUCAAUGCUUGUGCAAGUAAGUGAUUUCUUGCAUCUGAAGUGAAAAAGUCUUUUUGGUCCUUCUUUAGCUUUUUCUAAAACCACAUCAUAAGGAAACUAAUAUUAUUAAAUGAGCAUAGUUCUAAUAUCAUAACCAUUUUUGUUCUGGUUAAACUUGAUUACCAAUUUCUUAAUGACUUGCUCAGUCUCAGGGUUCUAUCCUCCAUUCUUUAGCAUCCGAGCUCUCUUCCAUAGCUCACUCCUAUCAAUUAAGUCUUCAGAAAGACCCGAUUCUGCACACUGUUUCGAUAAAAGAAAUUAGAUUAGUAAACUAUUAGAAAAAUGUAAUAGUUAAAAAUACCAUUUAUACCAAUAUAUACGAACUUACAAUUUCUUUCAUUAAUCCAACAUAUCCUUUUCGACUAAGAUGGUGAUUACACUUGUUCAAAGCUCUCCGAUUCUUAUUAACACGACUGAUUUUCUGCAUAAGAAAAAACAUCCUUUUAACACAAUGUAAAUGUAAAGUAACUAUUAGUAUAUUACUUGUCCUAACUUUAAAAUACUUACUUCAAAUAAUUCGGAUAAACGUUCGUCGACAAACUUUAUCCAAACAUGCCGCUUUAUUUGAGGGUAAUCAAUUGGUGGUGUAUACAUUUUCUUUUUAUCAUUUGGGAACCUCCAGAUAUAGUUUUUCGUCAGCAUAUAUUUGAAGUUUCGAAAUGCUAUUCCGAUUGACUGUAUUACCUGCUUCAUACUUCUAGGAUGAAUAAUGAAAUGACCCUAAAUAUGGAGGAAGAUUUUUAAAAUGUCAUUUAAUAAAAAUCCAAAUCAUAUAACUAAUAAGUGAAAAAUGCAAUAAGUUUUUCAAGAAUUACCAAAACAGAUUUCCACAAACGCUCCUUUGUCUCUGGAGGAACUUUACGUCAAUCGAAAUAAAGAAUAUAAACUGAUGUACGAGCCAAUACACCAAGAAAAGAAGCCAACUCAAUCGCUUCAUCCCCUCCAGGAACACCCAUUUCAUUGUAUUGCACCACAAUCUUUCCAUUUCUUGUUUUAAGUCUUUUAUUUUUCCUAGUACCCAUAUUCAUACCUCUCCUGGAGUUACUACUUUCAGGAACAUCAACAUUAGGAGCAACACAACCAUCUCUCUCAAUACCAACUAAAUCAUCUCUAUCCAAACCAGCACCAUCAAAAUCUCCUCCAUCAAACUCAACUCCAUCUAUCUCAGCAACAUCCAACUCAACAACACCAUCCACACCAGCCUCAUCUUUUUCACCUUCUAAAUCAACGUUAUUGUCAAAUAAGUUGCAGUAAUCAUCUUUUAAAUUACAAUCCUGAUCAGAAGCACCAUCAACCACAAUAUGUUUUCCCUUAGCCAUAUUACUGCCCCUGAAAUAAAUAAAUAAAGAACAUUAGUUCAAUGAUUUAAUCAACCUAUAUAACAAUUAAUCAGCUACACGAACAAAAAGUUAAUCAAUUUAAUAUCAUAUAAAUUCGUAAUUGAAAAAUAACAGAAGGAAAAUAGUUUUAAAAAAAACUUACUAUAAGAAGCUAAUCAAUUUGUAACCCAAAUUCCCUCUUUGUUGUUACGCGCAUAGAUCGCUCGAUCGCUAUUAGUGGAAUAUAACAAAUCAUUAGUUGGUAAUUCUCUAGUGAAUGGAGGAUAUUCUACUACAUUAUUAAAUUCAUCUUCGUUUAUUUGAUUAGAAUUACUUCUAAUAGGCAUAUGACAUACAAUAGACUAUUUUGUUUGAAUUUGAUCAUUUACAUAAAAUACUUGUUUGGCUUGAGAAACUAAUAUAAAUGGAUUAGAUUUAUAUCUUAAUCUGUUUAAGUCUACUAAUAUGAAUCCAAGCUCAUCUUUCUUGACGCAACUAUUUUGAACCCAAUCACACUUCAACACAAGGACUGUUAACAAAUGAUAGUCAAGUACCCAAUUCCCAUCUAUAACUCCAUAAUAUGUCAGGUCACAUAUUUCAUAAUCAACUACACUAACUCCAUUGUUUUGAGUUACACGACUUGAGUCUCGGUCUCGUGUAACAAAAUGGAAACCAUUGAUGUCGUAACCAUUAUGUUUAGUUACAAAAGGAAGAGGCCCUUGUGAUAACCAACGUAAGGUAUCCGAUAUGUGAUCACCUUUUUCAAUUAAGUCAUAUACCUAGCAAGAGAAAAAGGAUAAGCAUAUUUAUAUUGCUAGGUAGGGGGAAAAAAGGGGUCAACAAACUUUGUAAAAAUUAAUGAUAUAUAUAUGCUUCAACCUUAUCAGCUAGCCAAUCGGCAAAUGUACGGUUGUGUUCCUCUUGCAACCAUUUGUCAUUUUGAUGUGGAUAACAUGUUUUAAGCCAAUCCAUGUGGUCACUAAAGAUUCAGAACAUGAAAAAUUAGUUUUUCAUAUUAGAAAAAAAAAACAUCUAGAUUUGAUUCCAACAAAUUAAGCAAAUUACCUAAUGUAUAAUACCACUUCUUGUGUGUUAUGCAAGAUGUACAGGUGUGCUUGAUCUAGCAAAUUUACAGGAAUUUGCACCAUUUUCCCACCACACAGUGACUUAUCUUUUGAUAGCUUUUGCACAUCCCAACUGUACUCAUGUUUAACAUGUAUUCUGCACAAAAUUCUAAUGCUUCUUCCGCAAUAUAACUCUCCGCUAUACAACCCUCAGGACAGUUGCGGUUUCAGACAUAACUUUUAAGAGUUUUCAUGUAUCUCUCGAAGGGAUACAUCCACUGAAGAUAAAUCGGGCCACAUAAUCUAACUUCAUUGACUAAAUGCACAGUCAAGUGCACCAUAAUGUAAAAGAAAGAAGGAGGAAAACAUUUUUCUAACAAGCAUAAAGUCACCAUAUGGUCUACCUGUAAUUUAUCCAAUGUUGUCACAUCAACCACAUUGGAACAUAACGAAUUGAAGAAACAACACAGCCUUAUCAAAGCUCCUUUCACAUGCUUUGGCAAGACACACCUAAUGGAAAUAGGGAGAAGUUGUUGCAUAAGAACAUGGCAGUCAUGUGACUUAAGGCCCUGAAGUUUAAGGUCCUUCAUUGACAUAAGAUUUCUAAUGUUUGAGGACUAUCUAGCAGGAACUUUUAUACUUUUCAAAGCUUUGCAGAACCUUGUCUUUUCAUCUCUCGUUUAUGUGUAACAAGCUGCAGGAAGGAAGGUGCGCUUGUUCUUUUGUAAAGUUGGUGCUAGUUCAUCCAUGAUUUUCAUGUCCACAAGAUCAUUCAUUGACUUAAGACCAUCUUUGGUCUUUCUCGGAAUGUGGAGUAGUGAUCCAUAAAUGCUCUCGCACACAUUCUUUUCAAUGUGCAUAAAAUCUAAUUGAUGACGCACAAGCAAAUGCUUUCAAUACUCUAAAUUAUAGAAUAUAGAUUUUUUUCCACCAUAUGUGGUCAUCAUUUACUGAACUUUUAUGUUUGAAUGACUUGUUUUUCCCCCAUUUAUAAUCAAUAGAAUCAACCAGCCCUAAAAUAACGUCACCAUUCAACGGUUUCAGAGCAAACUCUCUCUCUAUUGUGUUGUCGAAGGCUUUAUAUCGGUCACAUAAUUCGUGAUCAUGAGGAAGCCAACGACGGUGACUGAUAUAUGCAUUUUUUUCAUUGUGUUUAAGUCUACAUUUAGUAGUGUCUACACCACAAUAUGGACAAGCAUUAUGUCCUUUAACAGUGCAACCAGCUAGAUUUCCGUAUGUCGAAAAGUCAUUUAUAGUCCAUAAUAACACAACCAGCAUAUUAAAAAUCUCCUUUCGAUAGGGAUCAUAAGCCUCCACCCUAACUUCCUACAAAGUUUGCAAAUCUUCUAUCAAAGGAGCCAAGUACACAUCAAUGUCAUUGCCCGGUUGUUGAGGACCAGAAAUCAGUAGGGACAACAUCAUGAAUUUCCGUUUCAUAUACAAUCAUGGAGGAAGAUUGUAUGUUACUAGAAUAAUUGGCCAGCAACUAUAUGUACUACUAAGAGAGUUAUGUGGAUUUAUUCCACAGUUGCUAAGGCAAGGCGAAGAUUUCUAAGAUCUAAUGCAAAAGUCGGCCAUUUGUUAUCUACUAAUUUCCAUGAUAGUGAGUCUGCCGGAUGUCAGAGCUUACCAUCAUCGGCUCUCUCAUUUGCAUGCCAAGUCAAGUCUUUGGUAGUUUGUGAGGACUGAAACAUGCGCUUAAAUCUAGGUAUAAUAGGAAAAUACCAUAAAAGCUUCGCAUGAACCCCUUUCUUAUACUGGUCAACACUAUUAUCUUUUUUUUUUCCAUCUAGAUAAACCACAACUAGGACAUUCAAAGAGGCCUUCAUACUCAUUCCUGUAGAGUAUGCAUUCAUUUGGGCAAGCAUGUAUUUUCAUAUAUUCUAAGCCUAAAACGGACAUUGUCUUUUUGACCUCAUACAUAAACACGAGAAUUUCAUUACUUUCAGGCAACAACUUGGCUAGAAGACCUAACAACUCAGUAAAACUUGUGUCAGACCACCCAAAUUUACCUUUUAUAUUGAACAAGCUAACCAAAGUGCCUAACUUAGUGAAAUUUGUGCAUCCCGAGUAUAAAGGCUACUCAGUCUGUUCUAGAAGUUCUUUAAAUGCUUUAGGAUCUGCAGCACAAUCCUUAUAAGCAUCAUUAACCCUAUCUACUGUGUUACCAUUAUCGUAGUCCAUAAACUCAAACGGAACAUCUACUUCUACAUUAGGAAGUGGCGUGUCAUGGACAUCUUUCCCAUGCCAACUCUAGGUUGUGUAAGAAACAUCAAAAUCAUAAAAAUACAGAUGUUCGAGAACAACCGUAUGUGUACGAAAGAAUAGAUUCAUACAUUUAGUACACGGACAUCUAAUGACACUACUACCUUCGGCAUUAGCAAUAGCAAACCUCAUAAAAUUUUCAACCCCAUCUUCAUACUCUUUUGGCAUUUUACUACAAUGAAUCCUACAAUGCAUCCAUGACUUAUCCAUUUUUAGUUUUAAUUAGAUCUGAUCAUGACACAUUAAGGAGGUAGAAUAAAAAAAAAUUAGAAUAUAUUACCACUACAUGUAUGCAAGGUACAAAUUAACAAUGACUUAAAUACCUUUGCUGCAACAUAAACAAAUAAAGAUGAAAAAAAUCCAAAAACAAAUGAAAAACACAUGGAAGAAUACAUAAACUAAAUUUUUCUUGGCACAUGCUUAUCUAUAUUUUGUUCUGAUAUGAAUAAGACUUAAGUCUAAAAAAUAUCAUGAUCACAUGUUUGGUCCAGCAAAGAACACAUAGACUAUUUGAGAUCUAUAACAUUAUAUUAUUAAAAGAAAACAAUUGUUCUACUAAUAUUCUUUGCCAAUGCAAACAUGGUCAAAGUCUUAAGACUGAUCUAAAACUAUAUGAUUUGGUGAUGUUUUCUGUUUCAAAACUCAAAAGCAAGGUUGUUGUUUGUUUUACAUGUCUAAUAUUGCUUUAAACAUGUGGUUUGGUGAUGUUUAAGUUACUAGAAAAUUGAUUAUAGAAGUGAAAGGAUGAUAAUUAUGGAUUCUCCAAAAAAUUUGAGAAUUGUUGGACUAUUAUGGUAAGUUUUAUUGUUUCAAAAUGUGACUAAACUAUUCUUGAUUGACUUGAAAUUUUGAGCAAUUAAAUCUGAAUAUGUAUGUUUCAAGUUUGCAGAUUUUGGAACUAAUAGUUGAUUUUUAAUUAAUUCAUUAAAUUGGCCAGCUGCUGUCCAAAGUUAUCAAAAACUCUAUAUAUGCCAUGUUUGAUGUUAUAAACAAAUGGUCUAAUGGUAUCGAAAUGAGCUGCAAUUUUUAUACAUUAAACUUUAAUAUGUCUUUCAAUUAUGGAAAAUUUCAUGGUAAUUGAACUUGUGGUUUAUUUUUUAUGAUUUUUAAAACUUUGCUGCUUCAAUUGUAAGCCCCUUUGACAGAGGUGUUCUCUUAAUUUUGAUCUUAUGAAACAAUAGCUCAAUGAUAUCGGAAUUAUAUGAAAUUUUAAUAUGUUAUAUAAUCAUAGAUCUAUCUAUGUUCUGGAAAGUUUUAUCCCAAUAUAUUGAGUAUUUUAAUUUUAAUAAAUCACUAAAUCUCAGCUGUUUCUGUGUAAAUUAAAAGGUAAUUUUGAUUGGUUUAGUUUAAUCAUGUGAGACCCUGUUGUACAGUUGCCUAAAUGGCUUCAAAUUUUGAUAUGGAAAUAUAUUAUACACUAAGGCUGAGUUAGAUAAAGCCCAUUUUGAGUGACCGUACCAUGUUUCUGGAAUAAUUGUUGUUGUGUUAGUUAAGCCUUAGCUGGUGUUAUGUAUGGGUGCCUUAUGCCAAACGGAUGACUAGGUUAUGCUAGGGAAACACUUGUACGUGGCUUGUUACACCAGCAGUGUAAACUGAUAUAGUCCCCAUUUAGGUUGACCAUCAGAAUGUAUGUCACUGGUUUCCCGCCUAUAUAUAGUGAAUCCCUAAAAAUCUAUUUAUGUUUCAGGCAAGUCACAUUCAGUGCACAAACAUUUACCUAAGUUUGAUCCGGAAUUGUACCCACACUAUUAACACAAUUUCCAAAAACAAACAAAAUGACAUCAAAAUAGAUACAAACUAUUAUUAAACAAAUAUAAAUGAAACAGUUAAUAAUUUAAACCCAACAACAAAGCAUUUGGUAUAAAAUACUGAAGAAACAAACAAACCUAUUACAAAGAGCAAUCACAUAAGCAUAUGGGGUAUAUAUAGUAACAGGAAAAAUGUUACCUGCCUCGUAAAGUGUGAUAAAACUAGGUCGAUGAACAGAGAAUUAAGUGAAGAAACCAAAGUGCAUUUGAUAGAAACAUAUAAAACAUAGUCAAGUCUUUACAUAUAAGGCAAAGAGAAUCAAAACAAUGUGUUUAACCAAAGAUUUACGCUACAAGACAGAUAAUACCGUUAAUAAAAAAUAUUAGAAGAACAUGCAGCUUCAAUUUUACCCACAUGGAUCUAUCUAUCCUCCGAUAUCCACGACAGAUAAUACCAAAGAUUUCCUAAAUGAGAGUUAGGGUUACCUUAAGAACUAACUUAAUUUUGUUUGCUUGGCUGGUGCUCUUUAUGCUGCGAAGGCAAUGACAUACGGUUUCAAAACGAAGAGACAAUGGUUUAAUUAGGAAAAUUUAAAACAAAAUGAAAGAAAUUGACGGUAUUAGGAGACAAAGCGAAACUGAAGAGGUUGAUGGCUUAAAAGGGGGGAGGCUGAAUUUUGUAUGACGGUAAUGACAGUGUGUGAAUGGUAGAAGAGCAGGAAGAAUUAGGGGUUUCAGAAAAGGGUUUGUGAACGGCGACACAAAUGAGCAAAAGAAAGAGCACUUAGGGUUAGGGAUUUGGAUUUCUCAUCAGUAUAACGUGGAUGUUUAACACUUAGUAAAAAAAAAAAAAAAAAGCUUAAGUACUUCAAACGGUAGCGUUUUGAUGGCUAUUUUUGUUUUAUUUUUAAAACACAUCCUUUGUUUUUAAAUAAAAUAAUACAUCAAAUUUGGGUCAAAUGUAGUCAAACUCAUUUUUCUAUCAUACUUUUUGAUAGAAUAAAUUUAUAUAACAAUUCUAUCAUAAUUUCAUGAUAACAAAUAAUCCUAUCAUAAAACCAUCAUAAUUUAUUGAUGGCAAAUAUUUCUAUCAAAAGCCCAUCAUAAAUCUAUGAUAGAUUCAAAAUUCUAUCAUAAUUCUGUCGUAAUUUUAUGAUAUACCUAUAAUCUAUCAUAAAGUUUUUGUCAUAUAUUGCCUGUUUUCUUGUAGUGAUCAUAAAGGAAAGCAAGUUCUCUUGAAUUGAAGACAUCAUCUAAUUGAAAAGCUGAUCUGUUCUGAUCCAAGCAAAGAAAGUAUGAUUAUUAUCUUGAUCCAGAUCCAUUGUUUAAAGAGCCAAGGUCAUCUAUAUUUUGAAUAAGAUACUAAUACGGACACUUAUUUGCACUAAUAAUGAAUCUUUCCAAGCCAUUACUUUUGAUUGAAGCAGGAACUCGAGUUCUUCAAAUAAUGAAGUUGUUUUGAUUGAGUUUUAUUGGUUUUACAAAGUUAUAAAAGGUGUUAUUUUGAUUAGAAGCAUUAGCUAGCUGUGAUAUCAUGUUUGAAAUAAAGUAAAAUUAUGUUUGGGUACUGAGAGAAUAAGCCAGAAAGUGAAAAAAUAAAUUCAGAGUUUAUUCAUUUACCUGAGCUUACAAAAUAACUCUCACAUAUGGUAUUUAUACACACAAUUACAUAUAUGAAUCAGUUAUUGGAUCCAUCUAAAAAUACUCAUACGAUCAGACCAGCUAGGCACAAUUGAAUCUUAUUGUAACUUACUUGACAUGUCAGCACAACGGAAUUACUAGGCUACUGAUUAAACUACCAAGCUUGUCAUGCUCUGCAUUUAUCAUGCUCUAAAUCAUCAUCACUAUAUAUUCUAACAAUGAGUAGCUAACAAAACCCAUCAAAGUAUUUCACCAAUGUAAAGAACAUGAGAAAUAAACAUUAUAAACCAAAUAAAUAAAUCAAUUAGCAAAUAUAUCCUUUGAUCAAAUCAAAGACGCUGCUUGCUCUGCUUCUCUAGUUUUAAGCUUAGAAUCAAGAAGAGGAGUGAAGAUGAAAUUUUCAAUGGAGUUUGUAGAGAAUGUAAUUCUGAGGUUGAUGGAGGACCCCAAAAAGAGGGACAAAAAGAACGAUUCAGAGUAGAUGCCUGGCAAAAGGGACCCUUACAACGAUAUUCUUUAACACAGCUAUGAUGCCACUUCCAUCUCUAAUUGAAUGCUAGAAAAUCCAAAAGCAACGGAAGAAUGAUUCAAGGUUUGUCAAAAAAGGAUGGUGAAUUAAGCUAUUGUUAUUAGGCCAGUGGCCAGUAGCAUCAUCGUCAACUAACAGAGUAGAUGUUAAAAGAAAAAGAACAAGAAGUAAAAUUAUAGAUGCCAUAAAAGAACACAAUCCUUAGCUAAAAAGUAAGAAUCUAUUUUCUGUAGUUUUAGGACCCUACAAAUGAGACAUAUGCUAGCCCUGACAUUAUACUUCAAAAUUGAAUUUCAUUUGUUUAAAAAUAGAGAAGAUUGGGGGGUGGAAUAGGGAAGGAAGAUGGUUGAUUAUUAAAGAUUCUUUAUGAUGUAAACUAGAAAAUCAAAAAGAUCGCAUAUACCUCAUUAAAGUUAAAAUCUUGACAUAUUAAGUUCCCUCUGUAAAUAUCUGUUUAAGGUACUCAAAAGGAAAAUUUUAAGAUUUUAAAUAGUAAGAAAAUUUAAAUGAGUGCUCAAAGUAAUAAUAUUAUAUAUGUGCAUAAUAAAGUGUCCUUAAAAAUAAUUUAUGUCAGGGAUAUUUUUGUAGUAAAUUUUUUUAUAGAAAUAUAAAUAUUAAGAGUAAUUUUUAGAGUACAUAUAGCCCUGCUAGGGAUGGCAAUGAAGGCAGAUAUGGGUUGGAUUUGCUCUGCUCCAGAUUCAGAUUCAUAAUGAUAAUCAAAAUCCGUAUCUGCUCUAGAUCCGUCAUGAAUCCAUAUUUCUCGCUCCAUAUCCAGAUUAAAAAAAGAAAUAAAUAUCUAUAUCUGCUCUAAAUCCAAAAAAAAAAAUCCAAAUCUACUCUAGAUCCGUCAUGAAUUCUAAAAUUUAGCAAUAAAAAAGUAAUAAUUUUUUAGAAUGAAAAUUGAAGGCCAAAAUGUAUUGAUAACAAAUAAAUUAUAUAAUUUUCUAAAAAAUAUAAUAAAUAUUGUAGCUUAUACUUUUACACCAAAACAACAAAUAAAAAAGAUUAUAAAAUAUCAUUAAAAAAUAAUUGCAGAAAUAAGAUCAAUCUAAUAUUCUAUUAUCUCCUUCAUCAUUCUAAUAUCCACGACACAACCACCCUCAUUCCUACAACAUUAGAUAAUGACAUAAAUUAAAUAUAAUUUAUAUUCAGUUUUUUAUUAUUUUAUUAUGACCAUAUUUGACUAAAUAUAUGAAUAACUAUAUUCCUUAAAAAUUAUUUGGCCAAUAUAAUAAAAUAAAUUGUCAGGUUGUAUUACUUGGCUUGCAAUUUGAAUAUUACAUGUACAUGCUUUGGGGCUGGCUGACCUUUAAAUUUACAAAACUAACCUUUAAGUUUUAAGAGUUUAAAUGCAUGGUAAAUACCACUAAUAUGCUAUGAAUAAAAUUUAUUAUCAUUAUAAUUCCACAAUUGUUAAGAAACUUUUAAAAUAAAAUAAAAUUAAAAGAUGGGUGGAUAUGGAUAUGGAUUUAGAUAUUAAGAUAUAUCCAAAUCUGCUCCAGAUUCGUGUUAGAUCAGCACAUCGAUAUUUAAAUUCGAUCCAGAUUCAUUUUAAACAAACCCAAAUCCGAUCCGAUUAGAUUUGGAUCACAUGGAUCUUGGGUUAGAUCCAAUCCAUUACCAUCCCUAAACCGUGCCCUUAAAAGAAAUAUAUGGUAAUAUUUGAUUUUAAAAAAUAAAAAAAGAUGUUGGGAAUACAAUACCGUUUUGCAAGGACAUAAAGGGGCACACUAAUUAUUCUCACUCAUACCCCUUGCAACUUCUAUUGGUAGCUCUAGAUGAUCAGAUUUUAAGGGGAAUGUAGAUAUAAUUCGAUUGGUUUUGAGACACAUUAUUGUAUUCAUUUAUUUAUUUUUCCUAUGCUUUGCCUAAUGAGAUUCAAACCUUUCCCACUCACGUGACGGGCUCAAUCAGGAUCUCUUGAGUCUUGAUCUAUCGGCAUCACUACAAGAUUUUACUAUUUUUUUGGAUUAAAAAUUUUUAUUUAGUUGAAGGAAAAAUCCCCUACACCCUCAAAAUUUUGUUAAAUGAUUACAUAGUCCUUUUGAUUUCAAAAUGAUCGUAUAGAUUUUUUUUUCCUGUUAUGUCCUUUAAUAGUAGCCAAAAUUUUGAAAUGAAUACAAUUACAAUACUAAUAUAAAACAAAAAAUAAAAUAGCAAAUAAAUAUAAAUAAUUAAAAAAAUAAACAUAAUAAUGAAAUAACAUAUAUAUUCAUCUAUGAAACAAACGCAAAUACUCAUUAAAAUAAAUGCAUUUAAAAUUGAAAAUAAGUAAUAAAAUUUACUUAUAUUCUUUAUAUAUUUUAUUUAUAAUAUUAAACAAUAGAUUAAUAUUAAAAUUGUUUUUAAUAAUAUGUUUUAAUGUUAUUAUAUUUAUUAUAGAAUUUUAUUUAAAGUCAAAUUUUGGAUUAUCAUAAUUGAAGGAUAUAUUUAUAAAAAAGAGAUUUACAUGAUCAUUUAUGAAACGAAGGGCUAUUUAUUUUUUUUGACUUUAUAACUUAAUUGACUUAAUUUCUAUUUAUUAAGUCAUUAAAUCUGUUUAUUUUUUCCUUUUAGUUAAAAUUUUUAGUCGCUAAGUCAUUAUGUUACUAAACCAAUUUUUGUUUUUAGCUUUUUACUUAAUUUAAAAGUCUGAAUGAUAUCAUUAAAAUAUAUUCUCCAAACUAUCUCUAUUUAAUUAAUUAAUUUUUAUUCUAACCUAAAAAAAAUUUGAUAAUUACAUCAUUACCCAUCCCUAUAACUCGUGAAAAUAUAGUGCAUUGAUAGAAUAUUAUUUUUUAUCUUUUUAUUUUAAUCAAAUUAGCAUUAUUUAUCUUGAUUAACGUACACUACUUAGAAUAUUAAAGGAUUGUACUCAAUUGAACAUAAUUUAUGUUAUUGUAAAUAUUAUCUUUUUUAUGUUCUUUGAGAUAUUUAUUAUUUGUUUCACAUUUAUAAUUUGGACGAACGCAAACAUAAAAAUAUUAGUUUUCAGAUUUUUAAGUUAAAAUGUAAAUAACUUAAUAUUUAUUUUUCGCUAUUCGACAAAAGAAUAUUAUUCAAAUUCAGACAUUAAGUUCUAUUUUGAAUUCAGACUAAUUGAGAUAUGUUCAGAUUUUAGACAAGAAAACAAAUUUUAAGAGAAUUUAUGUAACUAUUUAAGAAAACUUUAAUGGUGGGGUGGCUACUUUCAUUAAUUAAAUUGCUAAUAUCUUGAAUUUUUUUGAGUUGAUAAUAAUAGAGGUGGGUACUGUGCCCGAACCAAUUGGCUCUGUUGCGUAUUAUAUAAUUCAACAAUUGGAUUUUGUUGAGAUGAUAACAGCAGCGCGCCGUGGCUUCCAACUAAGAUUGGAAAAGAUAAAUAUCUUGGUUAUCUUUUGUAUAAUCUUCACUAAAUAUUAAAAAAUAUUAAAAUAAACAUAAUAAUGUAAAAAUUCAAAAACAAUUCAAUAUUUAAAAAAUAUUUUAUAUUUUACAAUUUAUUAAAAUAAAUUUGAUUAUAUUUAAAGUAAAAUUUAUAAUAAAUAGAGACAUAUAUUUACUAAUUGUGAAAUUUAUUUAACCCAAAUAUUUACUUAAAAUCUUUAUAUUAGAUACAAAUAUAUUAUUUACUUUUUCUAAAUCAAUAAAUAUAAUAAUUUACUUUUUUAAAACUACUGUAACGUUUAAAAAAUAUUUUAUUGUUAUUAGUCUAAACAAAAUGAAUUAUUUAUAUUAUAUUUGUUGUUGAUGCGAAUUCGGUGUCUGCUCGUUCGCGACAAGAAUCUCUUCUCAACGCUCGAGUUCGCAGUUAACUAGAGAAACUUCACUUUGCAACUUCUAGAUGAACAAAGCUAUGACGCUUGCUACUUUUCUUCGGCAGACUCCUGCGCACACAAAAAAUGGUCAGAAAUCUCCGGCGUAAACCCUCCGACGCUCAAGUCACAAAUCUGGGCUUACAUUUGGAAAAACUCUACCACUAAUUUUGUGGCUCUAGAAUGGUUUCUAAGGUACUGAAAAUCUCUAUGAAUUUUCCUGAGGUUCCAAUUAGAAUGCCCUCUGGAAUUUCUUUUAAUCUAAGUUUUUAGUGUUUUGUCCAACCCCUUUACCUUCUUUGAUUGCCUCUUUUAUAGCCUCCCUGAGAAUUCGGUCCUCCUUGACUCACAUUCGCCACUUCACCAGAACCCUAAAAAAUGGAUGCGUGAAUGUGGUAGUUCACUUUCCGAAUGAACCCCGCUUUCAAGAGCUUCUCCAUCUCACUGUUUAUGGCUUCAUAUCUCUCCUGUUUGAAAUAUCUUGUUUUCUGCCUCACAGGUCGGGCAUCAUUCUUUAUUACCAACCUAUGGCAAGCCACCUCGGGAUCGAUCUCUGGCAUGUCAUCAUGCCUCCAAGCGAAUAUAUCAGCAUGAGCUUGCAAGCAAUGUACCAGCUCCUACUUAAGUUCUUCUUUAAGUUUCGAUCCAAUUCUAACUGUUUUUCCUGAGUCACCUUGUUCCAAGUCGACUAUUUCCAGCCCCUCAAUUGGCUUAUGUCUGCCACUCUUGACUUCUACUCGGUGUCAAGUGAGUUAAUUUGCAUUGCCUCCUUUGCAGCUGUAGAGUAACAGCUUCAAGUAAUUCUUUGGUCUCGUCAUAACACCCCAAUUACCCCAUUCACCCGGUACUUGAGAGUCAAGUAAUGAUUAGAGAGCAUUGUCUUACUUACUCUCAGAAAGGGACGGCCUAGAAUCAUCUAGUAAAGGGCUCUCCUUAUCGACAACAACAACAAAGUCCAGGAUCAUGGUUUUUUCUGAUGGGGCAGAGCCUAUCGUGAUGGGUAGCUCAACCACGCCAAGGGGCUUAGCCUUCCUCCACCGAACCCCUUUAAGGAUGUAUUGGUGUGCUCUAUCCUCAAAUAUGUUAUUCUCAUUUCCUCCAUAGUUGACUUAAAUAGAACAUCGAUCGAACUUCCGGUAUCUACCAGGAUUUGGUCAAACUUCUUGCUAGCGAUAGUGGCUUCAAUGACAAGCAUGAUCUCGUCUAGGAAUAACACUCCUUCUUCAUCUUCAUCCGUCUACAUGAUCGGCACCUGCCUGGUCCUUGCUCGUUUGGCCGCCGAAGUGUUAAAGAAUACUUAUUUUCUAGUCAUGGAAUAUCUAGCAUAGUUCUUUCUAGAUCUAUUAGAAUCCCCAGCCAACGUUGGGCCCCCAGCGAUAACUCUGACAAUGGGCUGCUCGUGGCCCGCAUUUCUUGCACUCUGCUUUGCUCUACAUGAUGAGUCUGCAAUCAGGAUACCUCCAUCUAUGAAUUCAUCCAAGUAAUGAUUCCUCACUAAAUCUUUCACCUGAUUUUUGAGAUCCUUGCAUUGGGUCGUAGUAUGACCAUGGGUGCCAUGGAAUUUGCGAAACCAGUCCCUAUCUCGUCUGCUGGUCAUUUUUGCUAUUGCAGUAGGGGGAUACAUCAAACCACGAUUCUUUAUUUCAUUGUACACCUCGUCCAGAGGCACCUUCAAGAAAGUGUACCACCCAUAACUCUAACUCUGAUCGAUCAUGUGCAUUGCCCUCUCUCUGUGGGAGGUGUUUUGAGCAGAAUGGGGCAUCGGUGCAUUUGGUUUGCUAGCUCUCAUACACUGUGGGUGGUGAGUCAUCGUGGAAUAAUGAUAAGGAUGACUGUACAUCUAGUCAAGCCUUCCCCAGGAAUCUCUAGCUGGUGAACAAGGAGGCUGAAUCCUACUACACUGAUAUUAGGGUGGCCUCUAAUAAGGUUGGUAAGAGGCGACCCAGCCUUCCGCACUGCUAGCCGGGGCAUGGUGGUCCUUCCGCUUAAUUGGCCUACUUCUCGCUGGGACUUUCUUUUCAUUUCUCCUCAACCCCUCCAACUGGUCCAUCUUAAUCCUCGCCGUUUUUUCCUCCUUGAUUUCUAUGUCCCUCUUGGCCUGUUCAUAGGUCGUGGAAUAUGACUGAACUGUUGGAUUCCUUAUAUUGUACCACGGGCGCCUUAUCCUUACUCUUUCAUUUAGCCAUGUCAAGGCUUGAGGAUGGUUGAAGGCUCUAAGAUUGAGGACAUCAUGAUGGUAUCUUUUAAUAAACUCCCAAAGAGUCUUAUUUUCUCCUUGCUUCAUACUCGUCAGCUCCAUCAUAUCAUCUUCUGGUGUCAUUGCCCCCCGAAAUUGCUCUACAAAUUCUUGGCACAUUUACUCCAAUGUCCUGAUGUUCCCCCGAGAAAGCCGUCAGUACCACUCACGUGCUUAUCCCUCUAAAGUCAGCAGGAACACCCUGCAUCUCUAGGCUUGGGAUACUCCCUGCACUCCUGUUAUGUCAUUGAAACGCUCUAUGCGCACCAAUGGGUAGGUUCGUCCCGCGUAUUUGAGGUCGAGGAAAUGGAAGUCCUUGGGGAUAACAGCACUCAUGAUUUCUGCUGAGAUGGGGGAUUCACUAUCUAGUAUUAUUCUCCAACCGGGUGCUCUAGUACACCUCUACAUGUCGUCUAUGAUUUGUACUAGUCUCCACACUUCUUUCUCUAGCUGCAAUGCUUGACUAGGAUCACGUGCCGCCACCUGGUCUCACUUUUGCUCGAUAUCACGCAGGUGUUGUCAAAGUUCCCUCUCCUCAACGUUCGCAACCCUGUCAUUAUUACUCGUGUUUUACCUACCUGGGGAUUGAUCCCCACAUUUAUGACUUCCUCCCCGUUGAGAUUGGUCAUCGACUCCACCACUAGGCCUCCCGGUGGUUCCUUCACCGUUGUUCCUUUUAUUAACGUGCCCCGGUGUAACUUCACCAUUUCUCAUCCCUUCUUCGUGAAUUCCUCUUUGUUCAUUUGUUAGCUCGUGCAAGAUGGUUUUCAGAGUCUCUAUCUGCUCUUUUAUUCGCUCCAUCCACUCAUGCAUUGCCCUUUCUCGUGCCUCGUUAGCUAUCUCUCUCAAUGUUACAGACUCGUUGAGCCCCAGAUCCUCUCCUUAGGCACUACUCCCACCUACGUCCAUAGUCACCCCUCUCUUCUUCCCUUCCUUCUCUCUAUUAACGGAAGCUUUUUGUUCAGCUCCCCACAGACAGUGGUAAAAUGUUGAUGCGAGAUUCGGUGUCUGCUCGUUCGCGAUGAGAAUCUCUCCUCAACGCUCGAGUUCACAGUUAACUAGAGAAACUUCACUUUGCUCCUUCUAGACGAGCAGAGCUAUGACGCUUGCUACUUUUCUUCGACAGACUCCUACGCACACAAAAACUUUGCCACUAAUUUUGUGGCUCUAUAAUGGUUUCUAAGGCAUUGAAAAUCUCUAUGAAUUUUCCUAAGGUUCCAAUUAGAAUGCCCUCUGGAAUUUCUUUUAGUCUGAUUUUUUUAGUGUUUUUGUCCAACCCCUUUACCUUAUUUGAUUGCCUCUUUUAUAACCUCCCUGAGAAUUCGGCCCUCCUUGACUCACGUUCGCCACUUCGCCAGAACCCUCGGAAAUGGAUGCGUGAAUGUGGUGGUUGCAGUUGAGUGGGUUUCGUGCCUGGAUUCUCGAAUAAUAGUGCAUGUCCUGUUUAACUGUCGUGGACUGGGUCUGCUGAUUUAGCCCCUAGCAGGAAGUGUUCUCGACGCCUAGCAAGGAACCUACUCAUAUUAUGGUCCCAGCAAAGGGUCUCCUCAUAGACGAGGAGAAGACUUCUGCUCUUGGACGUCACAUGGCUCCUCGCUUACGAGAGAGACGACUCCUCGUUUGGGUAUGGCAGGUCACACCAUAAUGUACCCCCAAACAUUUGUAUUUAUUUAAAAUAUUAAAGUUAAUUUCUUUGAGUUACUAUAUUUAAAAGGUUUUUGAUAAAUAAAUAAAAAAGUACUUGGUGUUCCUUUUUAAAAACAUAGAGAUUUACAUGACUAUUUUUUUAAAUUGUAAGAUGUAGGUAAUCUUUUUCAAACAAAAUGUAAUCUUCAUAUACUUAAAAAAAUUACUUAAUAUAUAAGUAAGGCUUGUGAACAUAGAAUUUUUAUCCAAACUAUGAUGAAAACAAAGAAUUAAUAUUUCACAACCUCAAUUAUGUUACUCUCAACUAUUCGGAUAGAUAGUGACAUGUUCACAAUUUUCUUCACUUCAAUCACAAAUGUUUCAAUAAUUAUUCUCUAACAUUUGCCAUGAUGGGUUUCUUGGAUUAACUAGUCAAAAGGCCUAGAUAGAUGGUGUAUGAACUAAUCAACAUAUAUUAUGAUUAGCUACAUUAUUGCUGCCAAUUUUAAGUUGAAAUAUAACAUUUUAGCUGUCAAUUUUGACAAUUUAAUAUGCAAGUUUACAACUCUAUAUUGUCUUUGUACACUUUGUAAUAAUAUCAAUAGAAUUGUAAGUGUAUACAUCAGAGGUAUUAUAUUAGUCAUUCAACAAAUAAAUAAUAUUUAUAACAUAUGUGUAUUUAUUUUGAUUAUUAUUUAUAUUAUUAUUCAACAAAUAAAUAAUAUUUACAACAUUAUUUUUAUUAUUAUUUAUAUUGAUUCAUUUUUUUCUUUGUUCUUACACUAUUAUACACUAUAAUUGCGGUCAAAAUUUUGAAAUGAAUACAGUUACAAUACUAAUAUAAAAAUAAAAAAUAAAAUAGCACAUAAAUAUAAAUAAUUGAAAAAUAAAUGUGAUAAUGAAAUAACAUAUAUAUGUUAUGCAAAUUAUUUUUAAUAUUAAGUUGUUAUUAUCAGUACGACAGAUUUUUUUUAAUACUUAAAUCCAUUAAUCUAAAAAUUAAUUUUAAAAUUUAUGCUAAUAUACACAUAAUAUUAAAAAAAUAAAAUAGGAAAUAUUGUAAACAAAAUACAUAAUAUAAAUAUUGUAAUUUUUUUAAAAUUUGAAUACAUUUAUUUUAAUAAUAUUAAUCUAUGAAACAAAUACAAAUAUUCUUGGAUUAUUAAUAUUAAAAUAAAUGCAUCUAAAAUUGAAAAUAAAUUAUAAAAUUUAUUUAUAAUAUUAAACAAUAUGAUGGAUCAUUAUUAAAAUUAUUUUAAUAAUAUGUUUUAAUAUUAUAUAUAUUCAUUAUAGAGUUUUAUUUAAAGCUAAUUUUUGGGUUAUUGUUAUUAAAGGGUAUAUUUGUAAAAAAUAGAUUUAAGUGAUGGUCUAGAAAACCGAGAGAAUUUAUGUUAUUAUUUACGAAAACCUUAAGGGUGUGAGUGACUUUUUUUCAUUAGUUAAAUAAUUAAUAUCUUGCAUUAUUUUGAGUAGAUAAUAGUAGGGGUGGGUCGCAUGCCCGAGCCAAUUGGCUCCUUGUGUAUUAUAUAAUUCAACAAUUGGUUUUUGUUGAGAUAUUACUAGCAGCGCGUCGCGGCUUCCAACCAAGAUUGGAAAAGAGAUCUUGGUUACCUUCAAGAUGAGAUUAACAAACGAGAGGAAUUAAUAAAUUUGUGAUAUGUGAAUUGAUAAUUUUUAGUUAUUUUAUUUCCACAUCUAAAGGAAAAAAAAAGGUGAAUUAAAUUGUCGAUGAAAUCAUCAUCCAUUCAUUAUGUAUCGCAUUAGUCAAUUUGGACCUACGUUUUUUAAUAAGUCAUUGGUAAUAUAUUGGUAGAUUUGACGGGGUGCAUUGAAUCCAAUUCUACUAGUAAAAUUCAAAAGGUGCUAAAAAAAAGUGUUUAAGUCGAAUUUCAUUAAGUUCCAUUGUGAAUAACUGUAACAUAUGAAAGCAAAACAAACACCUUACACACUAUCAAUUUUGCAGGCUCUUAUCUUGGGAGCAACAGACACCACAACAAUAACACUGACAUGGGUUAUGUCUUUGCUUCUCAAUCAUCGUGAUAUUCUAAACAAGGCUCAAAAUGAACUAGAUAUUUAGGUGGGCAAAAAAAUUAAAUACUAACUAGGCAACUCAAGAGGGGGGUGAAUUGAAAUUUUAAAAUUUAAGUUAAGCAAACCACACAACAAUUUAAUCUAUUGCCUUAAUUAAAUUGAAAACAAUAAAUUCAAUCAUGCCCAAUAUUAAAAGAGUAAGGGAAGAGAAAACAAACACAAAGAUUUUUACGUGGUCCGACAAUCCCCUUCUACGUCCACGCCUCUAAGCUCACCCGCUUGAGGAUUUCACUAUCCAAGCCUCCUAAGGCUUCAAGUUUUUACAAUUGAUUUCCAAGGUGUCAAAGAACCUUUACAAUCAAGAGAUUAUCUCCCCAAUCUCUUCACCCCAAGUGUUUCUCAUACUUGUACACUCACAAUUUGAUGAGAAAUGAAAAUUACAACAAUAAAACUCUCUUUAAGAGUGGAUAUACAAAUGAUAGCUCAAUGAAGAUUUAAUCUAUGAUGAUUUUCGAAUUUGAAGCUCAAUAUAAGUUGUGUGCACUUGUUUAUGCUUGCUUAGGUUACCAAAAAUGAAUUGGAUUUGAGUUUAUAUAGUUUGAGCUCAAAAACUAGCCGUUAUUCACUUUUUAUUCAUAAUCGGCUUACCAUUUAUGGAAUCCGAUUAGCCGCUUGUAUGUUACCGUUACAGCCAAAAUUUGAAUUUCUGAACAUCCGGUAUGCCGCUUAUGAAAUCCGAAUAGCCGUUUAUGCUCCGUUUAUGCUCCAGAAGCUUACUGCCCAACAACCGGAUUACCGUUUGUCAGGAUCCGGUUAGCCGCUUUCAAUUCGGAUAGAUUCUACCCAACAUCCGGCUUACCGGUUUUUCACAUCCGGUUAGCCGCUUACUAUAGUGAACUAUUUUCCAAAAUUACAAUUUAGCCCCAAAACUUUUCAUAACUGUACUAGGGCCCAAAACGUUAUAAAUUUUGUAAAUAGGUCCAAUUUCAGAAUCUCUAAAUAAUACUUGCUAUUCCCAAAACUUUCUAAAAUUAUGAUAUGGCCCAAAAUGAUAUGAAACUUUUCAAAUAAGUCAUUUUCCAAAAUUUCAAGCAAUACUUGUUGAUUUCAAAGUUUUCAAAAUUCUUUCAAUUAAACCAUAAACUUGAAAAGCAACCAAUUUCAUAAAAUCAUUUUUCCAUUAAAUAUGAAACCUUUAUAAUGAGAAAAUAAUGAUUUAUUUAAAAAGUAUAAAAAAUAAUUUGAGCUUAAAAGAUUAAUCAUUCUUAAUUUUGUUUGUUAUCAUCAAAAUCAACAUUAUGGAAACAUAUAUGUUAACAAUCUCCCUAUUUUUUAUGAUGACAAACAUUUCAUGUAUUUAAAGAAUGAUUCCACAAAUUGCUCCCCCUAAAUGUAAUCUUCUCUUACAAUUUGCCAAUUAACUAAAUUAACAAAUUUAAAUACAUGCAUAUUUCUCCCCCUUCAUCAUCAAAAAGAAAACUUAAUUGGCAAAUAAAAAGAGUAGCAAAUUUGUUACCCAUGUUGUCCAAGUAGAAAUUUUGAUAGAAUUUCCCCCUAACAACAAGCAUCACCUCAAAUACAAGUUUAGUAAUAUUACUCCCAAAUUAUUAUAAAUCAUGAUACAAGCCAACUCCAUACACAAAUCAUCACACAAAAAUAUCAUGAACCAUUAUUCCAUCAAUUACCAAGUCAACAACUCAUAACAUAAAUUUAUCAUAUAAAACACCCAUGUAAUCAAAUCAUCAUCAUAUCUCAAAAUCAUCAAGUCCUCACCAUAAUCACAUAUCAAUUAUCAAAACAAUUACUCAAAAUGCAUAUUAUUCUCCUCCUUUUGACAACAUCGAAAUGAUAUAUUACUUUGUCUCCCCCUUUGGACAACAAAAAAGUUCAAAAUGCAUAUUAUCCAAAAGCAUAUUAUAUGCUCCCCCUAAAUAUAUGGCCAAUUUAAAAUUUUAACCGAAAUGAUUUUCUCCAAAAACAUAUCAUAUUUAUCUCCCCCUUCAUCAUAAAAAGGAAAGAUAGAUGCACUCGAAACAAUAUCAUUAAAAAUAAUUCGAUGAAGAUAUUACCCAUUUUGUGGGAGCAAAAUUUUUGACAGAGUUUUCCCUUAAAAAUGAGCAAAUCCCUAAAUAAAAAAUGGUUAAAAACACUUCCAUAUAAGCUUAAACAAUUAUAACAAAUCAACAACUCCAUCAAUUCAUCAAGUAAUGCACAUAUAAUCAUCAAUCAUCAAAAUCAAACAAAUCUAUCAUGAUGAGUUGACAAGCUAUCAUCAUAAAUAUAUAACCAUGCAUCAUGAUAAAGCACUCAAUGUUAAACACAAUGAUAAUUCAAUCAUGUAAACAUACAAGUAUACUUUCACAAAUUCAAGCUAUUAUCCAUUUAUCAUGAUCCACUCAACAUAAUAAAUAGGCAAGAUAAACUUAUCCACUUCAUGUUAAUGCACUUAAUGUUAUGAUACCAAAUGAAAUGUUAAAUAUUUACUAAGAUUAAAAGACCAUCACUUAUAAUCAAUAAAGCAAUAAUAGUUACCAAAACAAUUAAAUCAUCUUGCUUCAUUAUUUUUGCUUAGACCAUGAUCAAGUGAUUAUCCUCAUAAGCUUCAUCAAGGAACUCUCCACCAUUCAUUGUUUGUGGUACCUACAAAACAAAUAUUCAAGUUGUGUGCUUUGGUACCCAAAUACUCUUGGGUCCUUGAACGUUAGAUUUAGUUCCUUUUGGGACCCAAAUACAUUUGACUCCAUAAUAUACAUUUCUCUUAACUGGACAUCUAAAACUCAUAUGACCAUUUCCAUUACAAUAAUGACAAACAAUCUUAUGAUCACUUGUGGAGGUAGCCUUAACAAAAUAAUUCUUAUAAUAUUUUUGUUUCAAGUAAGGCUUAUACCCAAGUCCUCCUUUAUCAAACACACAUUUUUGAGUGCUUAGUAAUUUUUCUAAGUUCUUUUGACCAUUUGUGAAUUUUAACACAAUUUCAUUGAGCUCAUUACUCUUUUUCUUAAGCAAAUCAUUUUCUUUCAUCAAUUUAUUAACAUGUGAUUUUUCAUGCUCAUACGAAAUAUUUUGUUUAACUUUAAAUGAUGCAAUUCUAUCAUGCAACAUUUUAUUAUCUAACUCUAGUCCUUUAAUCUUUUCAUUUAAUGAAUCAUUACAUUUUUGUAAAGUAUCCUUUUCAUUUUUCAAGUUAUCUACAUGUGAUUCUAGAUGCUUGUGUGAAGUGCUAAAUUUCUCAUUUGAUAAUGCAACUUCAUCAUGCAAUGUUUUAUUCUCUAAUUCUAAUUCCUUUAUCUUCUCAUUCAAUAAAUCAAUGCAUUUUUGCAUGGUAUCCUUUUCUUCUUAAGGCAUGCAUUCUUUUUACCAAGUUUCAUCCACUCACCAUGCAAUUCUUUAAAAGCGUCAUGUAAUUCAUCAUGAGUAUGAAGAUCAUUUACCUUAUCAAGUUCAUCAUCCGAUUCAUCUCCAAUUGGCAUAAGUGCCAAAUUCGACACUUUAUGAAAUUCCUCGCCGUUUGUAGUCUCCUCAUACACAAUUUCAAGUUUUCUCCAAAUUUCAUAAGCAUUAGAACAAUUUAAAACUCUAUAAAAUUCCUUUUUAUCUAAAGCACAAAAUAAAGCAUUCAUAGCCUUGGAAUUUAAAGACAUGUUUUUCUUAUCCAACUCACUUAACACAUUCUUCCUAGGAAUGAAUGAACCAUCACAAACUAUUUCUCAUAUUUCAUAAUCUAAGGCUUGUAAAAACACUCUCAUCCUAGUUUUCCAAUAAGGAUAGUCAUUACCAUCAAAGAAUGGAGGUCUAAUAGUGGAUUUGCCUUCCAUGAAAGUUGAACUAAUUUGGGUUGCUAUUAAUCUUUAACUCUAGACGGUUAAGUCUACACAAGAGCGCAUUGCUCUGAUACCAAAUGAAAUACUAACUAGGCAACUCAAGAGGGGGGGUGAAUUGAGAUUUUAAAAUUUAAGCUAAGCAAACCACACAACAAUUUAAUCUAUUGCCUUAAUCAAAUUGAAAACAAUAAAUUCAAUCAUGCACAAUAUUAAAAGAGUAAGGGAAGGGAAAACAAACACAAGGAUUUUUACGUGGUCCGGCAAUCCCCGCUUACGUCCACGCCUUGAAGCUCACCCGCUUGAGGAUUUCACUAUCCAAGCCUCCUAAGGCUUCAAGUUUUUACAAUUGACUUCCAAGGUGUCAAUGAACCUUUACAAUCAAGAGAUUAUCUCCCCAAUCUCUUCACCCCAAGUGUUUCUCACACUUGUACACUCACAAUUUGAUGAGAAAUGAAAAUUACAACAAUGAAAUAUUGAGUGUUAGAAAAUGCAUAUUUAUAAAGGAGAAAACUGUCAUUUUACGUUUCAAGUCUUACUAACAACCCUUACUUUUAUGUAUUUAACCUUCUUGUGAUGUAAUUACGUGUGUGUUAUUUUAAUUAAGUAUUUUAUGUAUUUUAGGGGCAUUAUAGUCAUUUCACAAUAAAGGAGAGAUCAGACGGCAAAACGGACAUCACUUUUGAACUCAGGACGGUCGAAAACCUUAGGAGGAGCAUAAAAGGAAAAAUGGCACUAUUCACAUGUACGGUACUAUUCACGUAUACGGUAUUGUCUACGUUACUGUUCACGACACUGUUCACAUAGACGGAUCGAUGACGUGGCAUUGACCGAUGAUGUGGCAUUGACUGAUGAGGUGUCACGAUCCUGUUGGACUAAAAUUCUUAUGUACUGUUGAUGGUGACGUGGCAGCAUAUCAGUUGACAAAAAAUCUCGCGUACGGUGCAUGCAUCACACAGGAUUAUUUUCAACCAAACUGCGUUACUGUUCAUCCGGGUCAAACCGUGUUACUGUUCAUCCACGUGGUCAAACCGUGGACUGUUGACUGAUGACGUGGCGCAAUCCUGAGCGUCCAAACUGUUUUUAAUCCGAUGGCCAUGAUUUACUCCAUGUAUCUAUAAAAAGGGGGCCUCCCCCCCUAAUUUGAUAUCUCUGAAUCCAUUUUUGGGAUCCAUUUUCUGUAAUUCCUUCUCCAUCUUGUAUUUUCUUCGUAUUUUAAUAAAUUUCCAUUUUGCCCCUAGUUCAAUUAUGAGUAGCUAAUUUUCUUUCAAGCUUGGGUUGAAGGUGAAGUCUCAACAUGUGUCAUGGGCUUAAUUUGGUAAAUUUAUUUUCUCUUCCCCUCUAGUUUUUGUGGAUGUUUUGACUUCUUGUCGACAAAUAAUAAUAAUCUUGUCUAGAUACCGCCUUGGUUACACCGGCUCUCUAGUAUAAGGUUAUUAUUAUUUGGCACGAUAAGCCCUUAGCACCAUAUUGAUUAGAGCGUGGUUCAUGAGGUGUGGAUUCCCCCCUCAUGAUUUAAUUGACAUUAAUACGGAUUAUUUAGCCCAUGAUGCAUGUUGAUACGGAUCCAGAUACCCAAGUACGUCAAUUUAAUCGAUUUUCUCUACAAUUUAUUCUCGCCAUUGCAAUUCCAAUUUUAGCAUAUUUUAAAUCACUUCCACCACAAUUCCAACCACCCAUUUACAAAAUUAAUUCUAUAUAGAAUUAAAAAUCCACCUCCUCGUGGGAUCGACACUCGUCACCAUUAGUCUAUACUAUAAUAGAUUCGUGCGCUUGCGAGUACAUUAAAAUUUGCACAACAAGUUUUUGGCGCCGUUGCCGGGGAGGUAAGUAAUUUUAAUUCAUAGAAUUAAUUUUUGUGAAUAAUUUCUUUUAUUUGUUUUCUUGUAUUUUUUAUAAAAAAAAAAAAAAGUGAAUCCGCAUUUUGAGGUUAGUAUUUCUUUUCUUUUUCUCUUCUUUAAAAUUCUGUAAUUUAAUUUUUAAUUUAUUUUUCUUUGUAAGUUUUGUUUAUCUUAUUAAUUUAAUUUUUAGUUAAUUUAUUUCACGUAUUUAUUUUUUGUGUAUUUUUAUAGUAAGGUUGUAAUAGCGCAAUAAGGUUAGUAUUGUAAUUUCUCCCUCUUCUUUAUUUUUAUUUGUUUUGUUCCCAUCUUUAUUUUAUUUGUUUUGCAUGCAUGGUCGUAGGUCAUUAUUACCUAAUCUUGAACCUAUAGACCUUGAACUUGAGAAAACACUUCGCACACAAAAGCACAUUAAUAAAUUUGGAAUGGAUUUACAAGCACCACAGGAGAGGCCAUUUAAGGAUUAUUUUAGUCCUUUAGCUAAUUUGAGCACAUCAUGUAUAAGAUACCCAAAUGUAGCUGCUAGGAGUUUUGAAUUAAAACCUAGUGUGCUAAAUUGUCUCCCCACAUUUUAUGGCCUAGAAAAUGAGGACCCAUAUAAUCAUCUGAAUGAUUUUCAUGCUAUUUGUCAAACUUUUAAAUACGAGAAUUUUUCAGAUGAUGAUGUAAAGCUUAGAUUAUUCUCAUUUUCUUUAAAGGAUAGAGCUCGUUCAUGGCUUAAUACAUUGCCUGCUAAUAGCAUUGCAUCAUGGGAACAAAUGGUUACAAAAUUUCUAAAUAAAUAUUUCCCAGUGCAUAAAACCAAUUCUAUUCGCAGGGAAAUUUCAGAGUUUACACAAAGAGAGGACGAGCAGUUUUUCGAAACUUGGGAGCGAUUCAAUGGACUACUCUUGAAGUGUCCACAUCAUGGGUACGAGAAAUGGCACCAAUGCCAAUACUUUUUGGAGGGAUUAUUGCCGAAUGUGCAAGAAUGGCUAAUGGCAACAAGUGGAGGAGAGCUAAUGUCAAAAAGUGCAUCAGAAAUUUGGGAGUUUUUCCAGCGACAAGCGGACAAUUCCCAACAACGGAGUCGAUCACUCAGGAAUACUAGAAGGAUUAAAGGAGUGAAUGAGGUUCACAUUGGCGAGUCAACUUCGGGAAUCAAAGAAGUCAAGGAGAUGGUUGAAGGUCUUGCUCGACAAAUAGCAUCGUUAUCGACUGCUAAAUCAACAGAAUCACAUGACCCUGACUCAUAUCCAGAUCAAGCCAAUGCCAUAGGUGUAAUGAGAAAGCCAUCUAAUUACAACCCAUACUCCAACACAUAUAACCCUGGAUGGAGAGACCACCCCAAUUUUUCAUGGUCUCAAGGAUUCCAACAAAAUGGACCAGCAGCUCCAGCUCCACCAAUGCAACAAAUUCCUCAAAAUCCUCAAGCCUCUCAGCCCCCAUUUAGACCAUUCAAUCAAAACCAGAACUAUUCUCAACUCAGACCAUGGGAGGAUGCAUUCCAGAAUUUCAGGAAUGUUACUCACUCCAUGAUUGAGCAACAGAACCGCACCAUUGAUGAACUACGAAAUGAGUUGAGAGCGGGCUUCAACUCACAAGCCCAAUCAGUUUCAAGCCUCGAGAAGAUGGUGGGACAACUCGCUUCUUCAGUUCAAACCUUGGCAAUGACUAUUGAGAAAGGCAAGUUUCCAAGUCAACCAGUGCCUAAUCCUAAAAGAGUACAUGAAGCAAGUACCAGUUCACCACAGCAGCAUGGAGAGGUCAAAGCAGUCAUAACCUUGCGAAAAGGAAAAGAAGUCGACAACAAAGUGGAGAUGCCAGUGACCAAAGAAAAUCAAAUUGUACCUGUGAAUGUUGAGGACUCACUACCGGAGGAAAAAGAAACCAACCCACGAGAAUAUGUUCCGAAAGCUCCAUUUCCUCAAAGGUUAGCUAAAGGAAAAAAAGGAAAAUCCACAGGUGAGAUUCUUGAAAUCUUCAAACAAGUAAGUGUUAACAUCCCUUUACUUGAUGCUAUUAAACAAGUUCCAUCUUAUGCCAAGUUUCUUAAAGACCUUUGUACUAAAAAGAGAAAUAUGCAUGUUCAAAAGAAGGCAUUUUUAACAGAAAACGUUAGUUCUAUACUCCAACAUAAAAUUCCUUUAAAAUGCAAAGACCCAGGCUCCCCCACUAUCUCAUGUAGUAUAGGGAACCACACAAUUGAGAAUGCUUUGUUGGAUUUAGGAGCUAGUGUAAAUCUUUUGUCUUACUCUGUAUUCGUGAAACUUGGACUGGGAGAAUUACACCCAACUCCAGUGGUGUUACAGCUUGCAGAUCGGUCCACGAAAAUACCUCGUGGUAUUGUGGAGGACGUGCUUAUCCAGGUAGACAAGUUUUAUUUUCCUGUUGAUUUCAUUGUAAUUAACACUCAACCAAUACAGGAUUCAAUGAAGCACAUCCCUAUUAUUCUAGGCCGACCUUUCUUGGCAAUUGCGGAUGCUCACAUUCAAUGCAGGACUGGAAAUAUGCAGUUGUCCUUUGACAACAUGACUAUGGAGCUAAAUAUUUUCAACAUUGCCAAACAACCUCACAGUGCUGAUGAUGGAAUUGUUGAUGUUGAUUUAAUUGAAGCAUUAGUUGAUGACACUUUUAUUUCAAACCUUAGUGAUGAUCCUUUACAGACAUGCUUAACUCACUUUGGUUUUGAUUUUGAUAUUAACAGAUCGGUCGAAGAGGUCAACGCCUUACUUGACUCAGCACCAUCCAUGGACACUAAUACAUGGAAAUCAAGAGUUGAACAACUAGCACCAUCAGAAAAGAAACUCAUCCCAUCAUCUGAAUCACCACCGAAACUCGAGCUCAAACCAUUACCCAACACUCUGGAAUAUGCAUUUUUGGGAGAAGAAAGUACUCUACCAGUAAUCAUCUCAUCAUCCUUAAAUGACGAACAAAAAGGUAAGUUGUUGGAUGUUUUAAAAGAGCAUAAAGGAGCAUUAGGAUGGACUAUAGCGGACAUAAAAGGUAUUAACCCAGUAGACUGCAUGCAUUACAUUCACCUUGAUGAAAAUGCUAAAUCUACUAGGGAAAUGCAACGUCGGUUAAAUCCUAAUAUGAAAGAAGUUGUUAGAACUGAAGUCCUUAAGCUAUUAGAUGCAGGUAUCAUUUAUCCAAUUUCUGAUAGUUCAUGGGUCAGUCCUGUACAAGUUGUCCCUAAAAAGUCAGGAGUCACAGUAGUUACGAAUGCUGAUAAUGAAUUGAUACCCACUAGAGUGACUACAGGAUGGCGUGUAUGCAUUGAUUAUAGAAAGUUGAAUUCUGUCACACGUAAACAUCAUUUUCCUUUACCAUUUAUCGAUCAAAUGCUUGAUAGAUUAGCAGGCCAUGAAUUUUAUUGCUUUCUAGAUGGCUACUCAGGAUAUAAUCAGAUUCCCAUAGCACCAAAAGAUCAGAAGAAAACUACUUUCACUUGCCCUUUUGGCACAUUUGCAUAUAAGAGAAUGCCAUUUGGAUUAUGUAAUGCACCUGCUACAUUUCAACGAUGCAUGUUGAGCAUUUUUUCUGAUAUGGUUGAACGAUUCCUUGAAGUCUUUAUGGAUGAUUUUUCUGUCUUUGGUGACUCGUUUGAUCAAUGUUUACAUCAUCUAACACUAGUUCUGCAGAGAUGUACCGAGAAGAACUUAAUCUUGAAUUGGGAGAAGUGCCAUUUUAUGGUAAAACAAGGUAUUGUUCUCGGUCACAUCAUUUCGAGCAAAGGUAUUGAGGUUGACAAAGCCAAGGUGGAUCUCAUUUCUAAUCUUCCUCCACCUAAAACAGUCAGAGAAGUAAGAUCUUUCCUUGGGCAUGCUGGUUUCUAUAGACGUUUCAUUAAAGAUUUUAGCAAAGUUUCUAGACCCUUAUGCAAUUUACUUGCUAAGGAUGUACCUUUUAUCUUUAAUGAUUCAUGUCUUAUGGCUUUUGAAAAAUUAAAGCAAUUGUUGACAUCAUCACCCAUCAUUCAGGCCCCAAACUGGAACUUACCAUUUGAGCUCAUGUGUGAUGCAUCUGAUUAUGCAGUAGGAGCAGUAUUAGGACAAAGAGUUGAUCGAAUUCCCCACGUUAUUUACUAUGCUAGUAUGACAUUGAAUGAUGCACAGUUGAAUUAUUCAACUACUGAAAAAGAAAUGCUAGCAGUAGUGUUUGCAUUAGAGAAAUUUCGAUCUUAUCUCAUUGGUUGUAAAAUAAUUAUAUUCACAGAUCAUGAUGCUCUUAAAUAUCUUCUCACAAAGAAAGAUGCAAAAGCUAGACUAAUUCGUUGGGUGUUACUUUUGUAGGAAUUCGACUUGGAAUUCAAGGAUAAGAAAGGCACAGAAAAUGUUGUGGCGGACCACCUCUCUCGUCUCCAUUUUGACACAAUUACAGAGCCAUUAAUAUUAAAUGAGUCAUUUCCAGAUGAACAAUUAAUGAGUGUGGAAGUAUUACCUUGGUAUGCUGAUAUAGUUAAUUAUCUUGUUACAGGUAAGCUUCCAGAGCAUUGGACCAAGCAAGACAAGGCUAAAUUUUUUGCGGAAAUAAAGAAUUUAUUUUGGGAUGACCCAUAUUUGUUCAAGUAUUGUGCAGACCAAUUUGUUAGACGAUGUGUCCCUGAAAAUGAAAUUCAGAAUAUUCUUUCAUUCUGCCAUGCACAAGCUUGUGGAGGCCACUUCAGUGCUAAGAAAACCGCGACUAAAGUUUUACAAUGUGGUUUUUAUUGGCCAACUAUAUUUCGAGAUGCUUACACUUUCUGUUCUUCAUGUGAUAGGUGUCAAUGAAUGGGGAGCAUUACACGAAGGAACAUGAUGCCACUAAAUCCAAUUUUAGUGGUUGAGAUUUUUGACGUAUGGGGUAUUGACUUCAUGGGACCCUUUCCCCCUUCUUUUGGCCAUCAAUACAUAUUGGUUGGUGUUGACUACGUAUCGAAAUGGGUGGAAGCAAUUCCAUGCAGAACCAAUGAUCACAAAGUGGUGAUAGGAUUUUUGAAAAGCAACAUUGUUUCACGCUUUGGAUUCCCUCGAGCGAUAAUCAGUGAUGGUGGUGCCCACUUUGGUAACAAAGCAUUCAAGGCUCUUUUGACAAAGUAUUCAAUCACACACAAAGUGGCGACCCCUUAUCAUCUGCAAACCAGUGGUCAAGUUGAGAUCUCUAAUCGAGAAAUAAAGCACAUAUUAGAAAAAACAAUGAGGCCAGACAGAAAAGAUUGGUCAUUAAGACUUGAUGAUGCAUUAUGGGCAUAUAGAACGGCUUUCAAGACCCCGAUUGAGAUGUCACCCUACAGGCUAGUGUAUGGAAAAGCUUGCCACCUACCUGUGGAACUCGAGCAUAGUGCAUAUUGGGCUAUCAAGAAAUUCAACUUUGACAUGCAGCAAGCCAGCUCAGAAAGAAGAUUACAGCUGGCAGAACUUGAAGAAAUUCGCAAUGAUGCAUACGAAAAUGCCAAAAUUUACAAGCAACGAAUGAAAGUCUUUCAUGACAAGCACAUUAUGAGAAAAUCUUUCACUCCAGGUCAGAAAGUGCUUUUAUUCAAUUCUCACUUGCACCUAUUCCCAGGUAAGUUACGCUCUCGAUGGUCUGGUCCCUUUAUUGUUCAUACUGUUUUUCCACAUGGGGCAAUUGAAAUUAAAGACCCAAAGAACGGUGUCACGUUUAAAGUUAAUGGUCAAAGAUUAAAGCCAUAUCUAGAGUACCAACCACAUGGAAAAGACACCGAAAUAAAUUUGAGUGACCCACCAGAUUUGAAUUGAUUUUUUUUUCUUUUCGUUGAUUUGAUUUUGUUUUCUUUCUUUAUAUUAUUCUUCUGCUAAUUGAAAUUAUUUUUGCAUAAGUGUGUUUGUUUAACUAUUAAGUUUUCUCUUAUCAUUUUUAAUCAUGAGUACCUUGCUUAGACCGUUCCUCCUGAACAUUCUUAAACCACUUCAACGUGUCAAAACUCAUCUCAAAAGGCAGAUUCAAUUUUGUAAAACACAUCGCAUUUGGGCUCUACAACCACCAGAGUUAGUAGCCUAUGUUGAGAAUCUAGAAAGCCAACUCCGAGAUAUUGAGAAAAGUGUUUACGACAUCCAGUUGGAGCUUGAGGUAAAUUCAAUAAGAGGACGAUUUUAAUUUUCUUUGUGUGUUUUGAUUUGUUUUUCUGUUUGUGUGCUUUAGUUUGUUACCCCGGUGAAGUGGCGGAUAACGGUACUCCGUGACAAUCAAGUCGGUUACUUCGGUUUCCCAUAAUAACUGAUAUUCUGAGGCAAAUGUAUGGACAGAAACGAGAUUCUAGCGAAGCUUCACAAGCGAUUCCCUUCACUUCCUCAGAAUGCCCUCCUUACAAUCUAUAAAGCCCGGUCCGAACGCAUGCGAUUGCUCAUGAAGAAUAACAUACCUGCUGACAUCCGUUGGUUAAUCGAGGCUAAAGUACGAUCGGCAGGUGAGUUACCUCCAAAAUUUAUUGCAUUCAUGCCUGGUUGUGGUAAAGGAAAUUAUGCAAGAAAACGACGAGCUCGAAGAAUUUAUGUUGCUUGUCAUAAGUGUGCCAGAAUGAGUUGCGAUAGAAACCCAUGUUCUUUAGGAAUAGUGUCUGAUAACAGGGAAGAUAAGAUUCAAUUCAUUAGGGAUGGCUUGAAUAAGGAGUCAUUGGAUGAUAUCCUUUUGUCUCUUGAAACACAUCCCAGUGGAUCUGUGCAAGGAGCGAUUCUCCAGUUAUGGCCAUUAUUCCAGAAAGAGCAUGCACGAUAUAGUCUCGGGAAUCUGACUAUAAACGACCCUGUUUGCCAGUUUAUAAGAAAACUGGAUGGGAAGCCUAUCCUCGACCCAUAGAGGGAGUUCAAGCCGUUUCUGGACGUAAAACCAGAGGAAGAUGUGAGCCACAGUCGCAACUACGUGUAAAUAUCCUUUUACUUUACUGUUAUUUUAUUUCAUUUCACUGUUGUUUUAUUGUUUACAUUAUUUUCUUUAAUAAUUUUAUUACUGUUUGCUUUUUUCUUUUUACUGUUUUCUUUUUGACUCGCGAGCCAUGUGCUUCACGCGUUAUUUGACACUGACAUGUUACCUCAUACACAGCUGUGACCCACUGUCACCAAGACUCUUAAAUGUGAUUUCUUUUGUCAAACACUCACAAAUUAUUUUUGAGAAAUAUUCCAAUGGCAGCUACUCCCAAUAGACAAUUCAAGAACAUUUGUGUGCUUUCUGGAUUUACAUAUGGCAAACAUAAAGAGUUCGUUGAGGCAGCCAUAGAUCUUGGUCGAAGCAUAGCAGUGAGAAAAUUACAUUUGGUGUAUGGAGGAGGUAACCGAGGGUUAUCAAAAAUUGUCUCAGAAGCAGCUUUUAUCAGAGGAAGUCAAGUGUUAGGCAUCAUCCCAAGAGUCCUAAAACCAUUGGGCAACUCGUCUGACUCAUCAACUGGAGAAGAGUUAGUCGUCUCAGGUAUGCAAGAAAGAAUAACUGAAAUGCUUAAUCAUGCUGAUGCUUUUAUUUUCCUUCCAGGAGAUCUUGCAACACUAGAGGCACUUAUGACACUAGCAUCUUGGGCCCAUCUGCACAUCCACCAGAAACCUAUUGGUUUGUUAAAUGUCAAUAACUUUUAUGAUGGCUUUAUCGCAUUUCUUAACCAUGCAAUAAAAAAUUAUUUCAUUCCUUCUAAUGUGAAAAAACUCUUUAUUUGUGCUCACACUGCUAAUGAGCUACUUGAUAUGUUACAAGCUUGAUAUGUUUCUAGAUUUACAUAUGGCAAACAUAAAGAGUUCGUUGAGGCAGCCAUAGAUCUUGGUCGAAGCAUAGCAGUGAGAAAAUUACAUUUGGUGUAUGGAGGAGGUAACCGAGGGUUAUCAAAAAUUGUCUCAGAAGCAGCUUUUAUCAGAGGAAGUCAAGUGUUAGGCAUCAUCCCAAGAGUCCUAAAACCAUUGGGCAGCUCGUCUGACUCAUCAACUGGAGAAGAGUUAGUCGUCUCAGGUAUGCAAGAAAGAAUAACUGAAAUGCUUAAUCAUGCUGAUGCUUUUAUUUUCCUUCCAGGAGAUCUUGCAACACUAGAGGCACUUAUGACACUAGCAUCUUGGGCCCAUCUGCACAUCCACCAGAAACCUAUCGGUUUGUUAAAUGUCAAUAACUUUUAUGAUGGCUUUAUCGCAUUUCUUAACCAUGCAAUAAAAAAUUAUUUCAUUCCUUCUAAUGUGAAAAAACUCUUUAUUUGUGCUCACACUACUAAUGAGCUACUUGAUAUGUUACAAGCUUAUAAACCGGAGCCAGACCCAUGGACCUUUGUGUUAGAGCGACCAAAUAAUGAUGGUAACAGUAGCCGCAGUAAGAAGUACAAAUUAGAUUUAACUCUCCGCCUGUAAAUAUUUUCUUCUGUGUUGCACCACCCAGGUGAUGUCUUCUAAACUCUACUUCUUUCCUUUAAACAUUGAGGACAAUGUUUCGUUCUGGUUGGGGGGAGGGAUUAGUCGACAAUUGUGGAAUCUUGGUUAAGUUUUUACUGAUUUUUUGUUGUAGAAACUAACUGUUGCUAAUGUUUUGUGUUGAAGAUGGCUGAAUAUGGAGUGUAGUUACUCUAGAAACGCAUCUUCAUCGUUUAAAAAAAAAAAAAAACAUGUUUUCUUCCUCUUUCUCCUUUAUAAAUAUAUUUUUUCAAAUUUUUGAGUCGAAGAUGGCUGAAUAUGGAGUAUAUUGCCUCUAGAAACGCGUCUUCUUAGUUAAAAAAAAACAAAAAUUGUGUUUUUUGUUUUAACAUUGGAUGACAUGAUUAAUUUCAAAUUUUAGUAUUUGUAUUAUCUUUGGUCUUAAGUGAUGUUACGCUAUGUUUGCUACUUUACAUGUUGAUGUCGGAGACAAAUAUGAGUUGCUUGAAGGAAUGAACAUGUCAUAAAUAAGUGCCAAGUGAGUUGUUGAGCCUAUCAUUUUCUUAGAGAGUAACCCUUUAGCCCAUUCUCUAUACAGCUUAGCAGUUUAUUAUUUUAUACACAAUCUCUAGAUUUCUUUUGAGUUAACCCUUUAAAAAAAAUAGUAAAAUUAAAAAAAAGAAAAAAAGAAAAAAAUGUGUGUUGCUACAUUGGGAGGCCCAUCAACUAGUAGAUAUGGAUAAUUAUUUAGAGCCCUAAAAGACGAUGGAAAGGCCAUCUUUGAUCCGUUUGAGCCUUUCUAGCCAUCCCUGUUAUUAAAUAUCCAUAGUUACCCCUUUUGAGCCUUUAAAAAAAAAUAAAAUAAAAUAAAAAAACAUUUUCUUUGUCAACUUAUCAUCUUGACCCACUCUGAUUUGGAGUAUUACCCGAUGUCUUAUAAGUUCCAUCACCAAUUUAUGUUUGAGAAAAUGUAAAUAAUUAUGUUAUUCAGUGAAGUUAUGCCAAAUAAAAGCAAAAAAAAAAAAACAAAAAAACAAAAGUUGUUGUUUCAAAAUAAUAAAAUAACAAUAAUAGGUGAAAUCCACCUUGCAACUUCAAAAAAAAAAAAAAAUAUUUCUGCAUUUUUCUCAAACAUACACUUUGUUUUCCUUAUUUCCUUUCUUUGUUAGCCAUAUCCCUAGCCUACGUUACGUCCUAAUAAAAGUCCUUCUUGAUUUUAGGGAACUAUAGUUUGAAGUAGAAGCUAGUUAUAUGGGCUAAAAAGAUGUAGUGGUGCAUAUAAAAAAAUAAAUAAAUAAAUUGGGUUGACUAACGUUUUUUUUUAUUUGACUUGAGAUCGUAUUAUUUCUAAGCUGAGGGCAUAUUUAUUUCAUCUUGGUGAGAGCAUGUGAUAUCACUUUUUCAUUAUUUUCUCUCAAUUACGAUUCAUUGGAGUGACUAUUUUUUGGGUUUAAUUUCUUUGUGAGAGUGUCACUACUUCCAGUGAGAUUUUGGGGUUUGACAUGUCAUUCUUGAAAGUAACUAUAACAAAGUCUACUGGGCCGAUUCAUGUGGAUGGUUGAUGUGGGUGUGAUAUUGCUUUAGACUGGAGAUAAUGCUUAUAUUUUUAUUUAAUUGUUAUCAUUAAUCUGAUUGAAUAAACACGAGUGUUUCUAAAAAAUAUAUAUAUAUAUAUUUUGAAUUUGAAUUUUGUUUUCGCUUUAUUUGCUAGGGACUAGCAAUAAGCUGGUUGGGGGGUGUGUUGAGUGUUAGAAAAUGUAUAUUUAUAAAGGAGAAAACUGUCAUUUUACGUUUCAAGUCUUACUAACAACCCUUACUUUUAUGUAUUUAACCUUCUUGUGAUGUAAUUACGUGUGUGUUAUUUUAAUUAAGUAUUUUAUGUAUUUUAGGGGCAUUAUAGUCAUUUCACAAUAAAGGAGAGAUCAGACGGCAAAACGGACAUCACUUUUGAACUCAGGACGGUCGAAAACCUUAGGAAGAGCAUAAAAGGAAAAAUGGCACUAUUCACAUGUACGGUACUAUUCACGUAUACGGUAUUGUCUACGUUACUGUUCACGACACUGUUCACAUAGACGGAUCGAUGACGUGGCAUUGACCGAUGAUGUGGCAUUGACUAAUGAGGUGUCACGAUCCUGUUGGACUAAAAUUCUUAUGUACUGUUGAUGGUGACGUGGCAGCAUAUCAGUGGACGAAAAAUCUCGCGUACGGUGCAUGCAUCACACAGGAUUAUUUUCAACCAAACCGCGUUACUGUUUAUCCGGAUCAAACCGUGUUACUGUUCAUCCACGUGGUCAAACCGUUGACUGUUGACUGAUGACGUGGUGCAAUCCUAAGCGUCCAAACUGUUUUUAAUCCGAUGGCCAUGAUUUACUCCAUGUAUCUAUAAAAAGGGGGCUUCCCCCCCUAAUUUGAUAUCUCUGAAUCCAUUUUUGGGAUCCAUUUUCUAUAAUUCCUUCUCCAUCUUGUAUUUUCUUCGUAUUUUAAUAAAUUUCCAUUUUGCCCCUAGUUCAAUUAUGAGUAGCUAAUUUUCUUUCAAGCUUGGGUUGAAGGUGAAGUCUCAACAUGUGUCAUGGGCUUAAUUUGGUAAAUUUAUUUUCUCUUCCCCUCUAGUUUUUGUGGAUGUUUUGACUUCUCGUCGAUAAAUAAUAAUAAUCUUGUCUAGAUACCGCCUUGGUUACACCGGCUCUCUAGUAUAAGGUUAUUAUUAUUUGGCACGAUAAGCCCUUAGCACCAUAUUGAUUAGAGCGUGAUUCAUGAGGUGUGGAUUCCCCCCUCAUGAUUUAAUUGACAUUAAUACGGAUUAUUUAGCCCAUGAUGCAUGUUGAUACGGAUCCAGAUACCAAAGUACGUCAAUUUAAUCGAUUUUCUCUACAAUUUAUUCUCGCCAUUGCAAUUCCAAUUUUAGCAUAUUUUAAAUCACUUCCACCACAAUUCCAACCACCCAUUUACAAAAUUAAUUCUAUAUAGAAUUAAAAAUCCACCUCCUCGUGGGAUCGACACUCGUCACCAUUAGUCUAUACUACAAUAGAUUCGUGCGCUUGCGAGUACAUUAAAAUUUGCACAACAUGAAACUCUCUUUAAGAGUGGAUAUACAAAUGAUAGCUCAAUGAAGAUUUAAUCUAUGAUGAUUUUUGAAUUUAAAGCUCAAUAUAAGUUGUGUGCACUUGUUUAUGCUUGCUUAGGUUACCAAAAAUGAAUUGGAUUUGAGUUUAUAUAGUUUAAGCUCAAAAACUAGCCGUUAUUCACUUUUUGUUCAUAACCGGCUUACCGUUUAUGGAAUCCGGUUAGCCGCUUGUAUGUUACCGUUACAGCCAAAAUUUAAAUUUCUGAACAUCCGGUAUACCGCUUAUGAAAUCCGGAUAGCCGUUUAUACUCCAGAAGCUUACUGCCCAACAACCGGAUUACCGUUUGUCAGGAUCCGGUUAGCCGCUUUCAAUUCGGAUAGAUUCUGCCCAACAUCCGGCUUACCGAUUUUUCACAUCCGGUUAGCCACUUGCUACAGUGACUGCUACAGUGAACUAUUUUUUAAAAUUACAGUUUAGCCCCAAAACUUUCCAUAACUGUACUAGGCUCAAAACGUUAUAAAUUUUGCAAAUAGGUCCAAUUUCAGAAUCUCUAAAUAAUACUUGCUAGUCCCAAAACUUUUUAAAAUUAUGAUAUGGCCCAAAAUGAUAUGAAAAUUUUUAAAUAAGUCCUUUUCCAAAAUUUCAAGCAAUACUUGUUGAUUUCAAAGUUUUCAAAAUUCUUUCAAUUAAACCAUAAACUUGAAAAGCAACCAAUUUCAUAAAAUCAUUUUUCCAUUAAAUAUGAAACCUUUAUAAUGAGAAAAUAAUGAUUUAUUUAAAAAGUAUAAAAAAUAAUUUGAGCUUAAAAGAUUAAUCAUUCUUAAUUUUAUUUGUUAUCAUCAAAAUCAACAUUAUGGAAACAUAUAUGUUAACAAAAAAGGCAAGUGGAUGAAGAAGAUAUAAAAAAUUUAGUUCACUUGCAAGCCAUUCUCAAAGAAGCAUUCCGUUUGUAUCCUGCUGUGCCAUUCUUAGUUCCUCAUGAGUCUAUGGAAGAGUGCACAAUUAAUGGUUACCAUGUCCCUGCCCGCACACAACUUUUUAUCAAUGCUUGGAAAAUUCAACGUGAUCCAAGUGUUUGGGAAGAGCCAUCUAAGUUUCAACCAGAAAGAUUUUUGACAAGGCACAAGGAUAUUUAUGUUAAGGGACAAAAUUUUGAAUUGUUACCUUUUAGUAGUGGCAGAAGAAUGUGUCCUAGAGUGUCAUUUUCCCUCCAAGUUAUGCAAUUUACACUUGCUUCUCUACUUCAGGGAUUUGAUUUUGCAACCCGAUCUAAUGAACCGGUGGACAUGGGUGAAGGAUUGGGGUUGACCAUGGAGAAAUCUCAAUCAUUUGAAGUACUUGUUACUCCAUGUCUUUCUGCUGCCUUCUACGACUAAAUUGAUUAUAUAUAUAUAGAUUGACCAAUAAAUAAGUGACAAGUGUGUGGUGUCACAUGUAGUGAGUUGUAAAGUCAAUUCCUUAAAGAUAAGGAUGUACUGUGUGAUAUAAUGUAAAUAAGUUAUGAGUCAUAAAGUAGAUUCCCUAGAGAUAAGAUGUAAUGAUGUAAAUAAUAAAAAAAGAUUCCCUUAGUGCCUAUAAAAGGGACUCCCUGGGAGUGUGUUGGAUCAUUGAAAUCUUAUAAUAUAGAGUUAUAGUAAGAAUACUUGGGUGAAACCUUGUAUUCUCUCUUCCAGUAAUAAAACCAUCCUUUGUAUUUUCUGUCUUUAUAACUUGGUAUCAGAGCCAGUACUCCCAAAAGGAGUUUUCUAAGCCCUUCUAUAAUAAAGUAUGCUCUGUGGUCGCCGUUGAAAUGAAUCUUCCACAACAGAAACAUUAUAGAAGACUAGAAAGCAUGUGUUCCCAAAACUAGGUUAUUUGAUCAAGAGCUACAUAGAAAAGAUUUCUUUGAAAAGGCGUGGCACCUUAUUUUUAGUAAGUGACAAGAGUGUUGUGUCACAUGUAGUGAGUUGUAAAGUAGAUUCCUUAGAGAUAAGGAUGUACUAUGUGAUGUAAUGUAAAGAAGUGACAAAAGUAUGGUGUCACAUGUAAUGAGUUGUAAAGUAGAUUCCUUACAGAUAAGGAUGUACUGUAUGAUGUAAUGUAAAGAAAUGAUGAGUCAUAAAGUAGAUUCCCUAUAGAUAAGUUGUAAUUAUGUAAAUAGUAAAAGGAGAUUCUGUCAGUGCCUAUAAAAGGGACUCCCUAGGAGUGUGUUGGAUCAUCGAGUCCUGGAGUCUUGUAAUAUAGAGUUGUAGUAAUAAAACCUUUGAUAAGGCAUGAUCCAUCCUUCUUUAUAUGGGAGUGAAACAAAAUAAUUUUCUCUAGAUCAGAACUUGUUUGGAAUAUCUGCACAGCACUGUAAAAGUUCUUUGUGCUGGAUUUCAAAUUUCUAGAAUUGAGAUUUUUGGAUUUACCUCUUAUCACCCCUCCAAAAAAUGGACUGUUGCUCAACCCAUGGAAUCAUGAAGAAAUGGACUUUUGAUCAACAGGAUUGGUAAUUGUAUAACCAAAACCUUCUGGAUGGAAAGUGAAUGAGGCAAUAAGACUCAAGAAAUCUGUUCUAAGUAGUAGAUCUUCUCCUGAAGAGUUAUAAGUGAAGAAACUAAUCACCACUUGUUGCUGCAAAGCUAACUUGUAUCAGUACAUGGUACCUUUUGGGUAGAUAAUUUCCACAGAUGAUUGAAGAAACAGCUCCAGUAUCAAUUAAGGUAGUGAAAGCAAUCUGUUUAUUAUCUGAUAACUAGAGGAUGACUUUGACAUAGGGUUUGAAUGCUGAUGUUGACUGCAUUUUUAGAUCAAUAGGCUAUUCUUUAGAAAUAUUUAGAACUUGUUCAUCAUUUGAAGAUUCUUCUGGCUCGUUUGACUCGCUGGAUGUAUCAGACUUUUGAGACUGUGAGUCAAUUGCGAGUAAUGCCUGUUUAGGAUUGUCAGACUAUUCAUAGUACUCAUCAUCAAACUCUGGAUCUUCAAUGAGUUGAAGUAGCUUGGUCAAACUCCUCUUCUUGGGUUUGCAUUAUUUUGCAAUAAUGUCCUUUCUUGCCACAAAUGAAACAUCUGCAUGACCUUUUCUAGAACUUUUUUCUUUUGACAAAGCGGAGCUUCUUGCUUUUGUAUGGUCUCCAGGGUUUUGUUUUCUUGCUGUGAAACUUCUUCGAACAAUAACAUGAGCUGCUUGUUUCAUGGCAACUAAAUUUGUUGCGUUUGUCAUUGCAGUAUUUGGACAAAGAGGAUUUCUUUAUCUGCUUCAUGUACUUCCUUAAUUCUUGAUUCCUGCAAUGAUUCUGGAUCGACAACAUAGUAUUGUCAUUGCAGUAUUUGGACAAAGAGGAUUUCUCUAUCUGCUUCAUGUGCUUUCUUAGUUAUUGAUUUCUCUAUCUGUGGGCUUUUGGAAGAUAUAGUAAAGUCGUUGCUGCUCCAUGUAGUAUUCUUUAAGCUUUUAAACAUCACAGCAAUUGUUCUAGAGGAAUUGUUUUUCUUGGCAACUGUGUUUUUCUUGGUCCGGAUCUAAAGAAAUCUGUUGUAAAAGUUUCUAAAACAACAGCACAAGGGUCUGGUCGGGAUAACAUACAUUCUCGUUGGAUUGGUGUCAAGAUGUUACUCCACUAUAACCUAAGCGAUCCAGUAAAGCCUGCUACUAAUCUAUGCAUAGUUGCUCUUCUGGUUAGCUGUGGUGUCUUUGGCAUUCUCCUUCAUACCAUGCUAUCAUUUGUUCAAUGUAAGGAAUUUUGUCUUGUAGUUUGAUAUUAUAAAUAUUCCAAAUGACUUUUCCUUGAGGAGAAUGUGAAAUCUGGACUCGUGUUUCCUAUUCUUAGCAUUGUUCUUCUUCUUCACCCAUUUGUUCUUGUUGAUGUUCUUACCGAGAUUGUUGUGGCUGUCUUUUUGGAGGAUCUGAAGAUGUUACUCCUGAGUGUUGGCCUGUCUCGAAGGUAAAUGGUACUGUGAACCUUGUCCUUGUGUCAACAUAUCUUGGAUUGGCAGGAUAUUGAGGUCUUCCUUCCAUUAUUAUUGGUCUUCUAAAAGAGCAAAAUGAAUCUACAGUUGGAUUGGAUUCAGAUGAACUUUCUGAAUCUUCCUAACUUGUAACUAUAACCGGCCAUGGUUGUGCUGGUGGCAUCUCAUAGCUUCUUUAGAAUGCUUUGGUGUUGUUGCCAAUGGAGCUUUCUUCCAAUAUAUAAGCUGGUUUGGAAGGCUUGUCAUUUUUCCAGGAAGUUUUCUUUUGUUUUCUUUUAUAGUAGUCCUGGUAGCAUUACACGGCUCUCCUUAUUUCUUCUUCACUAUCGGCUCAUGUCUGAGCAAACAUUGUUAUUCUUCUGGGUUUUUCAUGCCAUUCUGACAGCUGUCUGUUUGUGAAUCUUUGGGCUUUUUCGAGUUUUCUUGAUUUGUUUCUGCAGUUUCUGUAUCCGGUUUCAUGGUUAAUCCAUUUAUCUAGACUAACACUUUUAUGGUUUGAGGAAGGGUUGGCUUGUGUAGGUCAAGGGUAAAAUUUGGUUCCACCUGCUCAACUACAUGUCCUUGGUUGAGUCCCACCUCAACUGCUGAGAUUAAAGCCUUUCCAAAAGUUUGCCAUCUUGGAUCAAGAAUGGCGAGAAAGCAAGUGACAUUUUUGCCUGCAAGAAAUAAAGGCUGGAUUCUAAGUCUGAUUGCACCAAGAUGCAAUCCUCUAUAUCCUUCAAUCAUAUAUUUCUUGACGUCUUGAGGAGAGAGAAUAUAAAGAUAGGUUUCUAUGGAACUAGAGGAGAUAGAUUAUACUGCAACUUCAGAAGACUUAUAUACAGACUUGAGUUUCGGCUGACGAAAAGGAACAACAUAUUUAAACAGGACAUCCAAACACUUCUGGACCUUAAGCUCAUCAGGCCCUCUAAAUCUCAUUAGGCCAGCCCAGAACAAGCAUUCGGAGCAAGUUCGUGGAAAGAAAAGAUUAGUGAUUGACUACAGGAAGCUGAAUGAUUGCCUAGAAUACAUUAGGUAUCCAAUAACUUUGCUUCCACUCAACUAGUGCUGCUUCUCUCUAUAGACGAUGCGAGGUGACACCAAUCGAACGAGAAUAUAUGUUAUCCCGAACAGACCCUUGUGCUGCUGUUUUGGAAACUCUUACAACAGAUUUCUUUGGAUCCGGACCAAGAGAAACACAGUUGGUAGAAAAACAAUUCCUCCAAAACAAAUCUAUGCGUUUGUCUUCCAACCCAAUUUAUUCUUUCAUCAUGUCAUUGAUAAAGACACAAUUUGGGGACAUUAUGUGAUUUGUGAUGCUAUGCCACGAGCAUAUUAUUCUUUCUGGCUACUCCUCAAAAUGUAUUCCAUGGCUAUUCUAGAAGAGAGAAUACAAGGUUUCACCCAAGUAAUCUUACUACAACUGAUAUAAAGACCCUAAUUUCCUCCAUAAAAUCAGUUGUUCCUUUUCGUUAGCCUAAACUCAAGUUUGUAUAUAAGUCUUCUGAAGUUAUUGUACAAUUUAUCUCCUCUAGUUCUAAAGAAACGAUCAACAAGACUGGUAAUUAUAUAACCAAAUCCUUCUAGAUGGAAAGUGAGUAGUGUUAGCCUAAAGGGCAACACAUAAUGUAAUUUUGAUGAUAACAAACAUGUGUCUUGAUUGAUUUAAUAAAUAUUGUAUUUCACAUUUUCACUAGUUUUUGAAGGAUAAUAUUUAUGCAAGUGAAAUUAAGUUGAAGACACUCAACGGAUAACGAUGAAAUCAAGAAUAAAGUUUAGAGCUCAACAAACAAAUUAUUGCAAUAAAUUCUUGUAAAGUUAGUAUGAUUUAAUUGAUGCAUGAUUUAACAUUUGAGAAGCUCAGGAGAUUAAUUUAAAUAAUUACUUUUCAUAAACUAAAAGAUUUUAUUUUUAUAAGAUAGAGUAUUUUGUGGAUUUAAGUAAUUUGGACUUAAAUGAAAAGUUUGGCAAUCUUUGAAUUUAAUAAGUAUUAUUUUGAAUUCCGAAGUUGGACUUUUUUGCAAACAUUUGAAAUAUUUUGGGCCAUAUUAUAAUUUAUAAAAGUUUGAGGACCCGAAUAUAAUUCAAACAUUUGAAAUCCAAAAUUGGACAGAGAGUGAGCAGCUAAUAGCCUGAGGCUAGCGGCUAGCCGUCUGAGGAAAGUCUCAUAUUUUCAAAUUUUGACUAAAGUGAAAGGUUUUGAGAACUUUGAAAGAUAUAGGUAUUAUGUUGAACUUUGAAAAGGACCUCUUUCAAAAGUACUACUAUAUUUGUGGCCAUAUCACAAUUUCAUAAAGGUUUGGUACGACAAGUAUUAUUUAAAAAUUCCAAAUUUGGACUUGUUUGCAAACGUUUAUGAUGAUUUGGGUCAUAGUAUAAUUAUAGAAAGUUUUAGGCCAAAGUGUAUUUUGGUGAACAGUGUUACUGUAGCAAAAUUCAAACAUAACGGUAAUAUCACUGUUACAAGUGGUUAGCCGGAUAAAUCAAACGGCUAACCGCUUGGUUGCAGGAAUUUGCUUAUAACGGCUAGUUUUUGGGUUUUAACUAUAAAAACUCAAUUCCAACUUCAUUUUAAACUCUCUAGCAAGCACAAACAAGUUUGAACAACAUAUUUUGAGCUUUUAAUUCACAAAUCAUCAUAGAUUAAAUCUUUAUUGUGCUAUUAUUUGCGUAUCCACUCUAAAAGAGAGUUCUUUGUUGUAAUCAUUAUUUUCCCAUCAAAUUUGUGAGUGUGUAAGUGUGAGAAACACUUGAGUGAAGAGAUUGGGAGACAAUUUCUUAGUUGUAAAGGUUUAUUGACACCUUGGAAGUCAAUUGUAAAGAACUUGAAGCCUUGGGAGGCUUGGAUAGUGAAAUCCUCGAGCUUGGUUUGCUUGGCGGCGUGGACGUAGGUCGGGAUUGCCGAAUCACGUAAAAAUUAUUAUGUUUGCUCUCUCUUCCCUUACUCUUUUAUUAUUGUGCAUUAUUCAACUUAUUGUUUUUAAUUUGAUUAAGGCAAUAGAUUAAAUUAUUGUGCAAAUUGUUUAACAUAAGUUUUAAAAUCUCAAUUCACCCCCCUCUUGGGUUGCAUAACUUGCAUUUCAAAUAGGGCAAUGAGACUCAAGAAAUAUGUUCCAAGUAGUAGAUCUUCUCCUGAAGAGUCAUAAGCGAAGAAACUAUUUCUUUUAGCAAAUGGUAAAAUUCAAUAGGUUUAGUGUACUUAUGAUUAUAGAAUUGAUCACCACUUGCUGCUGCAAAGCUAACUUGUGUCGGUACAUGGUAUCUUUUGGGUAGACAAUUUCCACGGAUGAUUGAAGAAACAACUCCGACCAAAUGGCAUCACGUUCCAUUCAUAGUGUCCAUAUGGCACUACAAAUGAUGUCUUAUGCCUAUCGUCAUCUUUGAUCCCAAUAUGCCAAAAUCCUAACUUCAAAUCGAACUUUGAAUAAACUUUAGGACCCAAGUAUUCUUACUACAACUAUGGGAUGAUGUGUCCAUCUUUGAUGUGAAGUCCCAAAAAAUCAAUCUUGUCAAGUCCAAUCUUCAUUUUGGAUUCAGAUAACGCCAAGCCAUGUCACCGCGCAUGGUCUACAGAGAGAAGCAUUGGGGACGAGACAAACCACCUCUAGUUCGAGUUUUAUAAAACUUUCAAAAAUCUAAAAAUCUCCAAUCCAGAAAUUUGAAAUCCAGCACAAAGAACUUCUAAUGCCCACCUGUAGUUACCAUAUCUUUGCCAGCACGCAGUUUUUUAUCAAUGCCUGUCAACUUCAACGUGAUCCACGUAUCCGGGAAGAGCAAUGUAAGGUUCAACCAGAAACAUUUUUGACAAGGCACAAGGAUAUUGAUGUUAGGGGACAACAUUUUGAAUUAUUAUCUCGUGGUGGUGGAGGAAUGUGUUCUGGAGUGUCAUUUUGCCCUCCAAGUUAUGCAAUUUACACUUGCUCCUUUACUUGAAGGCUUUGAUUUUGCAACGCCAUCUAAUAAACCGUUGGACAUGGGUGAAGGAUUAGGGUUGACUGUGGAGAAAUUUGCACCACUUGAAGUACUUCAAAAUUGACUACAACACUUCAAAAUUGAAUUUCAUUUGUUUAAAAAUUUUGAAGAUUGGGGGGUGGAAUAGGGAAGGAAGAUGGUUGAUUAUUAAAGAUUCUUUAUGAUGUAAACUAGAAAAUCGAAAGGAUCGCAUGUACCUCAUUAAAGUUAAAAUCUUAACAUAUUAAGUUCCCUUUGUAAAUAUCUUUUUAAGGUACUCAAAAGGAAAAUUUUAAGAUUUUAAAUGGUAAGAAAAUAAAACAUUGAUUUCAAUGCCCUAAAUGAGUGCUCAGAGUAAUAAUAUUAUAUAUGUGCAUAAUUAAGUGUCCUUAAAAAUAAUUUAUCGCAUGGAUAUUUUUGUAGUAAAUUUUUUUAUAAAAAUAUAAGUAUUAAGAGUAAUUUUUAGAGUACAUAUAGCCCUGCUCUUAACAGAAAUAUAUGGUAAUAUUUUAUUUUAAAAAAUAAAAAAGGAUGCUGGGAAUACAAUACCGUUUUGCAAGGACAUAAAGGGGCACACUAAUUAUUCUCCCUCAUCCCCCUUGCAACUUCUUCUAUUGGUAGUUCUAGAUGAUCAGAUUUUAAGGGGAAUGUAGAUAUAAUUCGAUUGGUUUUGAGACACAUUAUUGUAUUCAUUUAUUUAUUUUUCCUAAGCUUUGCCUAAUGAGAUUCAAACCUUUCCCACUCACGUGACGGGCUCAAUCAGGAUCUCUUGAGUCUUGAUCUAUCAAGUAUCACUAAAAGAUUUUUACUAUUUUUUUGGAUUAAAAAAAUUUAUUUAGUUGAAGGAAAAAUCCCCUACACCCUCAAAAUUUUGUUAAAUGAUUACAUAGUCCUUUUGAUUUCAAAAUGAUCGUAUAGACCUUUUUUUUCCUAUUAUAUCCUUUAAUAGUAGCCAAAAUUUUAAAAUGAAUACAAUUACAAUGCUAAUAUAAAACAAAAAAUAAAAUAGCAAAUAAAUAUAAAUAAUUACAAAAAUAAACAUAAUAAUGAAAUAAAAUAUAUAUUAAUCUAUGAAACAAACGCAAAUACUCAUGAAUUUUAUUAGUAUUAAAAUAAAUGCAUUUAAAAUAGAAAAUAAGUAAUAAAAUUUACUUAUAUAUUUUAUUUAUAAUAUUAAACAAUAGAUUAAUAUUAAAUUUUUUUUUAAUAUUAUGUUUUAAUGUUAUUAUAUUUAUUAUAGAAUUUUAUUUAAAGUCAAAUUUUGGAUUAUCAUAAUUGAAGGGUAUAUUUAUAAAAAAGAGAUUUACAUGAUCAUUUAUGAAACGAAGGGCUAUUUUUUUUUUUUUUGACUUUAUAACUUAAUUGACUUAAUUUCCAUUUAUUAAGUCAUUAAAUCUGCUUAGUUUUUCCAUUUAGUCAAAAAUUUUAGUCGCUAAGUCAUUAAGUUACUAAACCAAUUUUUGUUUUUAGCUUUUUGCUUAAUUUAAAAGUCUGAAUGAUAUCAUUAAAAUAUAUUCAAAAUAUAAUUUCCAUUUAUUAAGUCAUUAAAUCUAUUUAAUUAAUUAAUUUUCAUUCUUACCUAAAUAAAAUUUAAUAAUUAGAAUCAUUACCCAUCCCUAUAACUCGUGAAAAUAUAGUGCAUUGAUAGAAUAUUAUUUUUUAUCUUUUUAUUUUAAUCAAAUUAGCAUUCUUUAUCUUGAUUAACGUACACUAUUUAGAAUAUUAAAGGAUUGUAUUCAAUUGAACAUAAUUUAUGUUAUUAUAAAUAUUAUCUUAUUUAUGCUCUUUGAGAUAUUUAUUAUUUGUUUCACAUUUAUAAUUUAGACGGACGCAAACACAAAAAUAUUAGUUUUCAGAUUUUUAAGUUAAAAUGUAAAUAACUUAAUAUUUAUUUUUAGUGAUUCGGACAAAAGAAUAUUAUUCAAGUUCAGAAAUUUAGUUCUAUUUUGAAUUCAGACUAAUUGAGAUCUGUUCAGAUUUUAGACAAGAAAACAAAUUUUAAGAGAAUUUAUGUAACUAUUUAAGAAAACUUUGAUGGUGGGGUGGCUACUUUCAUUAAUUAAAUUGCUAAUAUCUUGCAUUGUUUUGAGUUGAUAAUAAUAGAGGUGGGUACUGUGCCCGAACCAAUUGGCUCUGUUGCGUGUUAUAUAAUUCAAUAAUAGCAGCGCGCCGUGGCUUCCAACUAAGAUUAGAAAAGAGAAAUAUCUUGGUUAUCUUUUGUAUAAUCUUUAGUAAAUAUUCAAACUUUACUAAAUAUUAAAAUAAACAUAAUAAUGUAAAAAAUCAAAAAAAAUCAAUAUUUAAAAAAUAUUUUAAUAUUUUACAAUUUAUUAAACAUAUUUUAUUAUAUUUAAAGUAAAAUUUAUAAUAAAUAGAGACAUAUUUUACUAAUUGUAAAAUUUAUUUAACCCAAAGAUUUAUUUAGAAUCUUUAUAUUAGAUACAAGUAUAUUAUUUACUUUUUCUAAAUCAAUAAAUAUAAUAAUUUACAUUUUUAAAACUACUGUAAUGUUUAAAAAAUAUUUUAUUGUUAUUAGUCCAGAAAAAUUGAAUUAUUUAUAUUGUAUUUGUAUUUAUUAAAAAAUAUUAAAGUCAAUUUCUUUGAGUUACUAUAUUUAAAAUGUUUAUGAUAAAAAAUAAUACUUAGUGUUCCUUUUUAAAAACUUAGAGAUUUACAUGACUAUUUUUUUUAAAUUGUAAGAUGUCGGUGAUCUUUUUCAAAUAAAAUGUAAUCUUCAUAUACCUAAAAAAUUACUUAAUAUAUAAGCAAGGCUUGUGAACAUAGAACUGUUAUCCAAACUAUGAUGAAUACAAAGAAUUAAUAUUUCACAACCUCAAUUAUGUUACUCUUAACUAUUCGGAUAGAUAGUGACAUGUUCAUAAUUUUCUUCACUUCAAUCACAACUGUUUCAAUAAUUAUUCUCUAACAUUUGCCAUGAUGGGUUUCUUGGAUUAACUAGUCAAAAGGCCUAGAUAUUGUCGAUGGCGCAUGAACUAAUCAGUGUAUAUUAUCAUUUGGUACGUCAGUGCUGCCUAUUUUCCAUGUUGAAAUACAAUGUUUUAGCUGUAAAUUUUGAUAAUUUAGUACGCAAGUUUACAAAUCUAUUUUGUCUUUGUGCACUUUUUAAUUGUAAUAAUAUAUACUGAUAUACACACAUAUUGCUGCCACGAUUCGCCAAAGGCAGCUGAUCCGUAGCCGAAAAAUCGAUGUAUCGAACCCCUGACCCUAACUUGAAAUUGCUGUCGUUGCCAACUGAAUCGCUGCUCUCUGUCUUUGCUUACAUCUGGCUUCACGAAUCGCUGCCGCUGCCCGCUGCCAACUGAGUUACGAUCUAGCAGCUAUUGCUGCUCUUCGCAUCUGAAUCAUGAUCUAGCAGCCAUCGCCCAUCGGUGCUCUUCAUAGGUGACUCCCAACCUCCAUACCUACCACUUGCCUCGGGUCUGCGGGGAAAAGCUCUCACACUCGAGAUUCUCUUGCCAUCAAACUCUUCGGAAAGAAAAUCGCCUUCCAUUUGGAUGGAGAGGUUUUUGGUCAUCUUUGACGAUGAAUUGCCGUCUCCGGCGGCCAAGGAAGAAUGUAGCACAGAAGCAUAAGAAGAAAAAACAGAGGAGGUAUAGUUUUUAUACAAUUACACAAACUUUUUACGGAGUGCUUUAUAUUCGAGUCUUAAGGACCACCCAUUUGUUAAAAUGCUAAAAAUAUUACGGGGUCGGUUUUACUUUUUUUUUUUUUUUUCAAUUAGCAUGGCAUGCUAAGCACUGACAGUUUGUUCUUUUAUUUCUGUUUUUUAUUUUUGACUUUCUGUGUUAAAUUGAAUUUCAUUUUUUUGUGGAUUUUUCUUUUUUGAAGUUGGAAAAGAAUGAUGGAUGAAAAGCCUGAGAUGCAACUCCUUACAUACAAGUUGCAAGACAUCCUCCCAUGAUGGGAAAGCAUGGUGUAGCAGCUGAAGGGCUCUGGCGCCUUGACACCUUCAACUGGUGCCCAAGACCUUUAAUUCAGAUCAGCCAGAUGCUAUAGAGAUGAUUUGUUGGAAUCUUGAUUAAGAACCUAGAUGGUGAUGAAUUAAAAGAAACAGAGAACAUAUCAGAAUCGAAACGAAUAAAGAAAAAACUAAGAAUUAAAGAACAGGGGAAUAACAUAUAAAAGAAACAGAGAACAGAUCAGAAUCAAAACGAAUAAAGAAAAAACUAAGAAUCAAAGAACAGGGGAAGAUAAUGUGGUUGAGCUAAUUCUCAUUAGCUUACAUCCACGGAGGAACAAAGUGACAGACCUUUCAUUGAUUGAUCAUCAAAGUAAAGUGAGUUUUCCAGAGUACAUAUAAUUGAAUAUUAACCCUUUAAUCACAGAGUCUUUAUUCCCUUUUGUACUCCUCAGUGUAGCGUCAGUUAUUUGCACCAGAACCAGCUGCAUUCAGCAGCUUGUAACAACGUAGAUGCAAUUUCCAUAAACUCACAUGUGAGGCACGUGUGAUAACGGCUUCUAACGACCUGAAUACAAGCUUCCUUCUCCACGUGCAUCUCAUGUGCUUCAUUAAACCAGAAACGGCAAUGUAUGAAGUCGUUUCAAUGAUUAUUAAAUGUACGCAUCAAAACGCUGCAGCUAUUGUCGUUUUUACUGAAAUAGUAAGAACCCAAAACGCACUAUACACAGGCCAUUUUGAAGCCAUUGAAGUUGUUUCACCAGUUACAAAACACAUGGUUUUUCUGGGGGCUCAUAUGUAAAUCCAGCAUCAAUAGAAUCCCUACUUUACCUGCUUGAGCGGGCGAAAUAAAAUAAGCUAGGAACCGUUGCUGAACAUUUACCUAACCAAAGUCAUCGAUUCCGGUACAUUUUUACUUUGCUUCAAUACUUAUCGGUUCUUUUAUUUUGUCACUCGAACCAAACCGAAAAUUUUAGUUUUCUCCCGACAUCGAACCGACCUGAACCAAUGCCCACCCGUAGUUAUUAUAUCCUUGCCAGCACACAUCUUUUUAUCAAUGCCUGUCAACUUCAACGUGAUCCACGUAUCUGGGAAGAGCAAUGUAAGGUUCAGCCAGAAACAUUUUUGACAAGGCACAAGGAUAUUGAUGUUAGGGGCCAACAUUUUGAAUUAUUAUCUCGUGGUGGUGGAGGAAUGUGUUCUGGAGUGUCAUUUUGCCCUCCAAGUUAUGCAAUUUACACUUGCUCCUUUUCUUGAAGGCUUUGAUUUUGCAACGCCAUCUAAUAAACCGUUGGUCAUGGGCGAAGGAUUACGGUUGACUGUGAAGAAAUCUGCACCACUUGAAGUACUUGUUGCUUUACUUCUUUCUGCUGCUUUUGAUAGCUAAAUGGAUUCACGAUGUAAUCAAUUUAAUAAUUUUUUUAAAAUAAGUAUUGAUGCUCUUUUGCUUGUAUACUCUUGAAUAUUAGGCCUUCUUCUGCUUUGAAUAUAAAUGUCUGAAUUAUCAUUAGACAUAAAUAUCCAUUAUUAAACAUAUUUUUAUACCAUUUUGCAAGGACACAAGGUAACAAGUACCGCCUUCAGCACUACUCAAUGUCAUCACAAGUUCAAGAAAACAAAUGAGAAGAUCAUCCAGUUUUUCUUGUUAACCUAACUGGUUUAUUUUUACAUACAAUGUGAACUAUCUUAUAUUACUUCCUAAUAGUGACUUUGCAAUGGAUGCUACUAUUGAUUUCAACGGGGAGUAAUGGGGUUUGCAGCUAUGAUAACCAAGCCCGAAUGGUUUAGUUAUGGCUGCAGGGUAUCCUAUGGUGUUUAUUCUAAUGAUGUGGGCAUUGCUGAGGCUGAGGCCUAUUAUUUUGGUGUACGGUAUUUGCUGAGGAAGUUAAUUUAUUUCCUUUGAUUUUUGAGUCAGAUUCAUUGCGUGUUGUUCAUUUCAUUAAGAGGUAGCAAAGCACUCAUAUGAAUCAAUUUUAUGGAUUAGGAUCCUCUCCUGAUCUAAUUUUCAUCUGAGCAAAUUAUUUUAAUAUGAUUGGUGGUUUAUAAAUUAAAAGGAAAAAGUAGUUAACUUCUAAUCAUCCACUAACAUUAAAAUACAAGUGGCACAAGAUCUAUAAAAGAUCAGGAGUGCUCAAAUCAGGAGAAGAUCCUGAUCCCAAUUUUAUAUCAUUUCAAAACCUCAACACGUGUUAAUACUAAAGUAAGAUUUCAAGAUUUGUAAUAUUUCAAGGAAUCGUAAUAAAACAGGAGAUGUUUUAGCUCAUUUUCAUUUUGCUGCCUGAACAUUUGGAUUGAAGACUUUCCUAACCAUUUGAAUUGUUAUCUUCGAGAUUAUAUAUAGUUAAUGUUUUCAAGAAAUACAUGAGUUAUAUAUAAUUCAGACAAAAAAAAAAGUAAAAUAAAAAGAAGUUGGGAACACAAAACCAUUUUACAAGAACAUAAAAUGGCACAUUAAUUAUUCUCACUUUUAUUCUCACUUGCAACGUGUGGCAACUCUAGAUGAUCGAUUUUAAGGUCAGGCUAUAUUACAUUGUAUGUAGAGAGAUUGUCAGUUUCUCCCAUACUUAAAUCAAUAUAUAUCACUUAUUUUUUACUAUUUUCAUAAUAAUCAAUAACUCUCCUGUCAAUAUAAUUUUAUAGUAUUACCCUUAUUUUCAUAUGCACAUUUAUUGAUAUUUAUUAUAAAUUAAAUAAAUUAUAUAAAAGAAAAUUAAAAUAAAAAACUUAAGUACUAAAAGCAAAAAAUAUAUGUUUCAAUUUGAAUAAAAAAUAAAUAAUAAGAUAUUUUUUCUUGAACUUAUAUUUUUUAAACAUUUUUCUUGUAAUAAAAUAUAUAUUUUAUAUCUCCAAAAUAAAUUAUUAAGCAGAUGACCCAUCUACCCCUCUUUUCCUUUAAAUGUUUUUAUGUCAGGGGAACUUUUGGAUAUUAUGAAAAUAAUAAGAGUGUAAGCGGUGUAUAUUGAUUUCAAUAAGGAGAAAAUUGAUAAUUUUAUUUAUAUGUAAAAUAAGCAAUUCUUGGGUUGUCUCCCAAAAAAAAAAAAAAAUUCGGCAGGUGAAACAAUCAAAUUGUCACGGGUGACAAUUCAUGGGUUUACUGUAUGUUAUAUUUUUUGAAACAUAAUCCAGCCCCAAAUUUAAUGGUAAUGUAAACACACACACACACAUAUAUAUAUUCUGAGCUUUGCCUAAUGAGAAUCAAAUCUUUCCCGUUCACAUGAGGGGCUUAAUGCAGAUCACUUGAUCUCUAUUGUAUCACUAUAAGAUUGGAUCAAAAGAUUUUAUUAGUUGAAGGAAAUAAUCACCUACACCCUCAAAAUUUGUUUAAAUAGUCACAUAAUUCCUUUGAUUUAAAAAAUAUCAUAUAGACCGUUUUUCUUUUUUGGUUCUUACACUAUUAUACCCUAUAAUUGCGGUCAAAAUUUUGAAAUGAAUACAGUUACAAUAUUAUAUAAAAAUAAAAAAUAAAAAAUAAAAUAGCACAUAAUUAUAAAUAAUUAAAAAAUAAAUGUAAUAAUGAAAUAACACAUAUAUGUUAUGCAAAUUAUUUUUAAUAUUAAGUUGUUAUCAAUAUGACAUUUUUUUAAUACUUAAAUCCAUUAAUCUAAAAAUUAAUUUUAAAAUUUAUGCUCAUAUACACAUAAUAUUAAAAAAAUAAAAUAGGAAAUAUUGUAAACAAAAUAAAUAUUGUAACUUUUGUUAAAAUUUGAAUACAUUUAUUUUAAUAAUAUUAAUCUAUGAAACAAAUGCAAAUAUUCUUGGAUUAUUAAUAUUAAAAUAAAGCAUCUAAAAUUGAAAAUAAAUUAUCAAAAUUUAUUUAUAAAUUUUAUUUAUAAUAUUAAACAAUCUGAUGGGUCAUUAUUAAAAUUAUUUUAAUAAUAUAUUUUUUAAUAUUAUAUAUGUUCAUUAUAGACUUUUAUUUUAAGUUAAUUUUUGGGUUAUUGUUAUUGAAGGGUAUAUUUGUAAAAAAGAGAUUUAAGUAAUGAUCUAGAAAUCCAAGAGAAUUAGAAUUUAUGUUAUUGUUUACGAAAACCUUAAGGGUGUGAGUGACUUUUUUCAUUAGUUAAAUAAUUAAUAUCUUGCAUUAUUUUGAGUGGAUAAUAGUAGAGGUGGGUACCAUGCCCGAGCCAAUUGGCUCCUUGUGUAUUAUAUAAUUCAACAAUUGGUUUUCCUUGAGGGCUAAUGCUACAAUGCCGGGCAUUAAAGCCCCGGCACCAUGCCGGAAUUGGAAAAAAACCGUUGGAUUCAAUUAGAUUGAAUCCAACGGUUGAGAUUAAAUUUAUAGUAAAAAUAAAAAUAAAUGGGUUACCUGGUAAACCGUUCCCUCAAAAGAAAAUCCCACAAUUUUCUCUCACCUCAAUCCGAUUUCUUUGCUCUCUCAAAAAAGAAAUCCAUGAAAUCUCAUCUCUCUUUCAAAUUCAUAGUUUUUCUCAUCCCCAUUUUUUCACUCAUCAUCUAAGAUCAAAUCCACCGUCUCUCUCACACUAAUCAACCAAUCGGAUCCAUCUACCCAGGUAUUUGGUUUGUACAUGAGAGCUAGAGAGAGGCAGAGCCAGUAUCGUGUCCGCUGCUUCUUUUCCAACCGUCCACCGUUACCUUUGUUGCACUAUUGUCUACAACAUUAGUUCUUUAGCCUUUACUGUCGUCGUCCUGGCUUUGGCCGGAAUCAUUGCCCCGUGAGCUGCCCCAAGCUGCCAUAGAAAACCCUCAAAACAAGUUAAUUUUUUUUUGGUUGAUUUUUUUAGGUUUCGUUUUUUUUAAGUGUUAUUUUUCUAUGGGUACCCUGAUUUUUUCUUGUUUGGUUUUAGGUGUUGUUUGCUUGUUUUGAGCUCUACACUCUUUGCUAGGAAUACUAAAGAUGGGCGCUCAAUAAUUUGGUAAGAACUUACCCAUUGUUCUGGGUCCGGGUUUUUUUUUUUUUUUUUUUUUUUGGUUGUGAAUUUUGAGUUAAUUAUUUUGGGGUUGCAGAGCAAUCUUUAAAAAUCUAUGCAGUGGCGUAUCCUGGAACGAAACCAAAAAAAGAGUUGAGGUUUAUGUUUGGAGUCAUUCUAGGACAGGAAGAGCAGCGCGGAUGAGUUGCAGGAAGAGCAGUGUGGCUCGAGGUAACUCCUCUGUUCUCGUCAUGUAAAGGACCUAGUGUUUUGAUGCUAACUAGUAAGUCCUCGUUUUUUCUAUUAUUUUUUUAUCAUUUUGCAUUUCCUCACUUGCGUUCUCAAGAUUUUUGUUUGUUUCUGAGAGAUGCUUAUUUGAGUCCCAACGGCAUCCAUCAGUUUUUAAUAUUUAUCAUCAAAGAGAGGUGAAAUUAUUAUUUAAUGACUGGUAUUUUGUAUAUCACUAGCAUUAUUCUUUAUUUUUUGUGAUUUUGCUUUUUAAUUUGUUUAAUUGGGUGUAGCUAUUAUAUUGUGCCUGAAUUGGGACUGGAUGUGAACUAAUCUUAUGCAUGUUGCAAGGCUAUUCAAGAGUAUAUGGAGGCCAAAUCUCUAAGUUCUUUUCAAAAUAUUGGAUUUAUUGAUUCUCUAAUGUUGUUUUUCUUUUUCUUUUAUGUAAUGCAGCUUGGUGUGGAAAAAGAACAUGUUCUGCUUAUUCAAUCAACCAAAACAAAAAUUUGUAAAUUUUUUUCUGUCACUAUUAUUUAACAGAAAUUGUUGUUUCUAGUUUUAUGUUGUGCUAACGCUAUUGAAGUUGAUUUAGUGUAUACAUUUGAUGCAAUGUACUUUUUUCUAGUAUCUUGCUAAAAGUUUAAUUUUUUCUUACUGCUCUUCAAUUAGGGUAUGAAAUAUAAACUAGCAGCCAGUGCUAAUAAGGAUGAGGAAGAUUUAGAAGGAAGGACAACGUUGCAUUUUGCAUGCGGAUAUGGUGAGGUAAAACAAUCUGAGCUUUACCCAUUCUUACUUAUUUUUCUUGUUCCUUUUUGUUUGAGUUUUAAAGGUAGGGCGUAUGAUUUGGAUAGAAUUAAAUAUUACUUAACGUUUUGUGUUUUUGGUUACUUAGUUGAGGAAGUGCUAAUAAAGCCAAUGGAAAACUAGUAUUUGUGCUAACUGGGGCUUUCUAGUGACAGUUUGAGCUAACUUAUAUGGUUUAUGGCAUCAAUUGUUCAUCUCCUAGGGAUACUUAGGACCGCUUUCUAGUUAAUUUUUUAAUGAAAACUUCCUUGGCAAAUUGGCCAAGUUUAUGACAUGGAGUUAAUCAAAUGCACUUGAAUGCUUUAGGUGGAGUGUGCUCAACUCCUACUUGAGGCUGGAGCAAAUGUGGAUGCUGUGGAUAAGAACAAGUACUACCGUACAUUAUGCAGCUAAUUAUGACUAGAAGGAAUGUGUAGCCCCUUUGUUGAAGAACGGUGCUGCUGUGUAAGCCAACACCCAAUACUAUUUUAACUCCCGUCUCUAUUUUAUAAAAUGCUAUAUGAUUAAUUCUUUCUACUAUAUUAUAUUUUGUUACCACAGAACUCUGCAGAACAUGGAUCGCAAGACUCCCAUUGAUGUUGCCAAGCUCAAUAGCCAACAUGACAUGCUAAAGCUUCCUGCAACUCCGCAUGUGAAUGAUGGAUUUCGACAAUUUUAUAGGCAUUUUAGUGUGUUAGAUGAAUCUACUCCAGUUAGGCAUUAGGUUUUUAUCGUAACUUGAUGCUUUUGUCAAUGCUCAUGCUUAUUAAUCUGAUUGCUACCACUAAAAUUUGAUAUCAUAAACAAUCUCUUCCCUAGAUGAGUUAUCUGCGGGGAAUAUUCUUGUUAUGGCUUCUUUAAUUCUAGCUAUGAUAUAUUUUUACGUUUUUACAAUUUAUUGCUUGAUUAUGUCAAAAUAAGCACUUAUUUUAGGGUAUCCAUUUUAUAGUUUGGAAAAAGCUAUUCUUAGCCGAAGAAAAUGUGAUCUUAUUUUGGGUAUUUGCUAUCAAUUUAGAUAUUAAUAAUGCUAAACUAAUGCACAUGCCAUAUAUGUGUUGCUAGUUUUGAUUGCUUCCUUGAUACUAUUAAACUUACUUGUCUUGCCCAAUUUAACUUUUGCAAUUUAGUUAUAUAAUCUAUAGUUUUUAUCAAUACGCAUUCCUUUUAUGAGCUUAAUUCAAUUAUAAGAGACUCUUUCCUUAGAAAAUUGCAACAAUGAAUUUUACCCUUUAUGCAGAAUAAAAAAUUUAAAAAUUACCAAUGGAACUAAACAUUUUUGUUGUUUGGUAAUAUAAAAUUGUCAUCGUAGUUAGUUUUCGCUCGAAAAAUUAGACAAAUUACAAAAUAAAUGGUUCAAAUAAUAGUUAGAUUGAUAAAUUAUUACUUGGAGUAUCAAACAAUAAUCACUUGAAUUACCAAAUAAUUUUAACGCUAAGGCAACAAUUCCAUAUUUGUUUCUUAAUAGAUUGGCUUAAUUAAACUUAGUUAAUAAAAAAAAAUUAAAACUUAAUAGAUUGGGUUAAUUAAACUUAAUUAAUAAUAAAAAAAUAUUAAAAAUAAGUUUACUUAUAAAUUAUCAUUUGAAUAGUCAAGGAAUUUUGAAAUGCACUAUUAUUUUGUAUUUAGUUAUGAAUAGAAGUGUUUGAUAUUUUUUUUAUAUUAAUCAGCUUGAUAGAAAAUUAAAUAUUUGUCAAAUGCUUGAUAGAAAAUGUAACUUGCAAUUAUUCUAUGGAAUACUCAUAUUUAGCCUUUGGGUUAUUAUAAUUCCCAUCCAUAUUACAAUUAAUAAAUUAAUAACAUCAAAUAUGAGAUAAAAUAUUUCAUAUCCAUAUUAGCAAUAAAUUGAUCACAUAAUAUAUGGAUUAUCAAAUAUUCACAUUCAUAUCAACCAUCCAAGACCAAAGUAUGGGUGAACAUAAUUCACAUCCAUAUCCCUCCGGAAUGAUUCUGGAAGAUAACGGUUAGCCGUUAUCCAAAAUCGGUUCAACGUUAUCGUCGAAAAUGAUUCUGGACGUUAACAGUGAGCCUUUAUUUGAUGACAGUUCACCAUUAUCUUCUAGAAAUAAGUGUAACUGCUAAUUUGAUUCUGGAAGAUAACGGUCAACCGUUAUCUGAUAACGGCUAAUUGUUAUUUCCAGAAUUACUCUAAAAAAUAUUCAGAAAUAUUCUUUAUUUUGGCUUUAUUCAGGACAUGCAACAUCUAACGUCAAACAUGCAACCGUGACGUCCGACAUUCAAGUUUUAAUGUUAAACAUGAAACGNNNNNNNNNNNNNNNNNNNNNNNNNNNNNNNNNNNNNNNNNNNNNNNNNNNNNNNNNNNNNNNNNNNNNNNNNNNNNNNNNNNNNNNNNNNNNNNNNNNNAACACUUCACGCGAAAUAUGCCAAUUAUCACGUAAAGUUCGCAACUUCGACGUCAAACAUGAAACGGACGAGAAUAUUCCGAAAUAUUCUUUAUUUUGGCUUUAUUCAACACAUGCAACAUCUUACGUCAAACAUGCAACCGUGAUGUCCGACAUGCAACAACUGACGUUAAACAUGAAACUUGCAACACUUCACGCGAAAUAUGCAACUUAUCACGUAAAGUUCGCAACUUGGACGUUAAACAUGAAACGAACGAGAAUAUUUCACAAUAUUCUUUAUUUUGGCUUUAUUCAACACAUGCAAUAUCUAACGUCAAACAUGCAACCGUUACGUCCGACAUGCAACAACUGACGUUAAACAUGAAACUUGCAACACUUCACGCGAAAUAUGCAACUUAUCACGUAAAGUUCGCAACUUGGACAUUAAACAUGAAACGGACGAGAAUAUUUCGGAAUAUUCUUUAUUUUGGCUUUAUUCAACACAUGCAACAUCUAACGUCAAACAUGCAACCGUUACGUCUGACAUGCAACAACUGACGUUAAACAUGAAACUUGCAACACUUCACGCGAAAUAUGCAACUUAUCACGUAAAGUUCGCAACUUGGACGUUAAACAUGAAACGGACGAGAAUAUUUCAGAAUAUUCUUUAUUUUGGCUUUAUUCAACACAUGUAACAUCUUACGUCAAACAUGCAACUGUUACGUCCGACAUGCAACAACUGACGUUAAACAUGAAACUUGCAACACUUCACGCGAAAUAUGCAACUUAUCACGUAAAGUUCGCAACUUGGACGUCAAACAUGAAACGGACGAGAAUAUUCUGGAAUAUUCUUUAUUUUGGCUUUAUUCACCACAUGCAACAUCUAACGUCAAACAUGCAACCGUGACGUCCGACAUGCAACAACUGACGUUAAACAUGAAACUUGCAAUACUUCACGUGAAAUAUGUAACUUAUCACGUAAAGUUUGCAACUUCGACGUCAAACAUGAAACGAACGAGAAUAUUCGAGAAUAUUCUUUAUUUUGGCUUUAUUCAAGACAUGCAACAUCUAACGUCAAACAUGCAACCGUUACGUCCGACAUGCAACAACUGACGUUAAAUAUGAAACUUGCAACACUUCACGCGAAAUAUGCAACUUAUCACGUAAAGUUCGCAACUUGGACGUUAAACAUGAAACGGACGAGAAUAUUUCAGAAUAUUCUUUAUUUUGGCUUUAUUCAACACAUGUAACAUCUUACGUCAAACAUGCAACUGUUACGUCCGACAUGCAACAACUGACGUUAAACAUGAAACUUGCAACACUUCACGCGAAAUAUGCAACUUAUCACGUAAAGUUCGCAACUUGGACGUUAAACAUGAAACGGACGAGAAUAUUCCGGAAUAUUCUUUAUUUUGGCUUUAUUCAACACAUGCAACAUCUUACGUCAAACAUGCAACCGUGAUGUCCGACAUGCAACAACUGACGUUAAACAUGAAACUUGCAACACUUCACGCGAAAUAUGCAACUUAUCACGUAAAGUUCGCAACUUGGACGUUAAACAUGAAACGGACAAGAAUAUUCCAAAAUAUUCUUUAUUUUGGCUUUAUUCAACACAUGCAACAUCUAACGUCAAACAUGCAACCGUUACGUCCAACAUGCAACAACUGACGUUAAACAUGAAACUUGCAACAUUUCACGCGAAAUAUGCAACUUAUCACGUAAAGUUCGCAACUUGGACAUUAAACAUGUAACAGACGAGAAUAUUCCGGAAUAUUCUUUAUUUUGGCUUUAUUCAACACAUGCAACAUCUUACGUCAAACAUGCAACCGUGACGUCCGACAUGCAACAACUGACGUUAAACAUGAAACGCAACACUUCACGCGAAAUAUGCAACUUAUCACGUAAUGUUCGCAACUUGGACGUUAAACAUGAAACGGACGAGAAUAUUCCGGAAUAUUCUUUAUUUUGGCUUUAUUCAACACAUGGAACAUCUAACGUCAAACCUGCAACCGUUACGUCCGACAUGCAACAACUGACGUUAAACAUGAAACUUGCAACACUUCACGCGAAAUAUGCAACUUAUCACGUAAAGUUCGCAACUUGGACGUCAAACAUGAAACGGACGAGAAUAUUCUGGAAUAUACUUUAUUUUGGCUUUAUUCACCACAUGCAACAUCUAACGUCAAACAUGCAACCGUGACGUCCGACAUGCAACAACUGACGUUAAACAUGAAACUUGCAAUACUUCACGUGAAAUAUGUAACUUAUCACGUAAAGUUUGCAACUUCGACGUCAAACAUGAAACGAACGAGAAUAUUCGAGAAUAUUCUUUAUUUUGGCUUUAUUCAAGACAUGCAACAUCUAACGUCAAACAUGCAACCGUUACGUCCGACAUGCAACAACUGACGUUAAAUAUGAAACUUGCAACACUUCACGCGAAAUAUGCAACUUAUCACGUAAAGUUCGCAACUUGGACGUCAAACAUGAAACGGACGAGAAUAUUCUGGAAUAUUCUUUAUUUUGGCUUUAGUCACCACAUGAAACAUCUUACGUCAAACAUGCAAUCGAGACGUCCGACAUGCAACAACUGACGUUAAUAAUGAAACUUGCAACACUUCACGCGAAAUAUGCAACUUAUCACGUAAAGUUCGCAACUUUGACGUCAAACAUGAAACGGACGAGAAUAUUCUGGAAUAUUCUUUAUUUUGGCUUUAUUCAACACAUGCAACAUCUUACGUGAAACAUGAAAUCCAACCGUCGAAUAUGCAAGAACUGAUGUUAAACAUGAAACUUGCAACACUUCACGCGAAAUAUGCAAUUUAUCACGUAAAGUUUGCAAUUUCGACGUCAAACAUAAAAUGGACGAGAAUAUUCUGGAAUAUUUUUUUUUUUGGCUUUAUUCAACACAUGCAACAUCUUACGUCAAACAUUCAAUCGAGAUGUCAGACAUGCAACAACUGACGUUAAAUCUGAAAUACUAUUUUUUUCAUUUUCAAUUUCUUUAUUUUUUGCCAUUCUAUUUAAUUAUAUUAUAUUGUAUUAUAGGGUUUCUAUUAUAUUAUUUAAUUUCUUUAUCUUUUGCUGUUAAUUAUAUUAUAAAAAACUAUUUUUGACAUUUUAUUUAAUUUUUUUAUUUUUAUAUUGUAUUUUUAAUAUAUUUUUUUAAAAAAAAUGGUGCAACCGGUUUGUUAACCGGCUGCACCAAGUCCUUGGCUGCCAAAUGGCAGCCAAAGACAGCCGGGCUCUCUUUUUGAGAGCCCGGCAUGGUGCCGGGUACAAUGCCAACGGCAUUGUAGCCAAACCCUUCUUUGAGAUGUUACUACCAGCGCGUCGCGGCUUCCAACCAAGAUUGGAAGUAAGAUCUUGGUAACCUUUUGUGUAAUCUUUGCUAAAUAUUAAAAUAAAUAUUAUAAUAUUAACGUUUUAAAACAAUUUCAAUAUUUAAAAAAAUAUUUUAAUAUUUUAAUUUUAAUAUUUCAAUUUUUUAAACAUAUGCUAUUAUAUCUAAGGUAAUAUUUAUAAUAAAUAGAAACAUAAUAUUAUAAUAAAUAUAUAAUAAUUUAAAUUAUUUUGAAUAUUAUAUGAAAUAAUAUUUAAUAUUAUUAAUUUGUGAGAUAUAUUUUAUUAAUUGUAAAAUUUAUUUAACCCUAAGAUUUACUCAAAAUCUUUGUAAUAGAUACAAAUUUAUUAUUUACUUUAUCUAAAUGAAUAUAAUAUUUUAUAUGUUUAAAAAUAUUUUUUUAAUUUUAAAAAAUAUUUUAAUAUUAUUAGUCUAGAAAAAUUAAAUUAUUUGUAUUAUAUUUGUAUUAAUUUAAAAAUAUUAAAGUCCAAUUCUUUUACUUACUAUAUUUAAAAGGUUUUAUGAUUAAAAAAAAAGGUAUUUGGUGUUCUUUUUUAAAAACUUAGAGAUUUAAAUAACUAUUUUCUAAAACUUUUAGGAUGUAACCGAUCUUAUUUAAAUAAAAUCUAAUCUUCAUAUACUUAAAAAAUCUAAUUAACAUAUAUAAGCAAGGCCUGUGAACAUAGAAUUGUUAUCCAAAUUAUGGUGUAUAGAAAGAAUUAAUAUUUCACAAUCUAAAUUACGUUACUCUCAACUGCUCGGAUAGACAGUGACGUGUUCAUAAUUCUCUUCACUUUAAUCACAAAUAUCUCAAUAAUUAUUCUCUAACAUUUGUCAUGAUAGAUUAAUUUCUUGGAUUAACUAGUCAAAAGGCCUGGAUAGAUGGCGUAUGAACUAAUCAACAUAUUUUAUGAUUAGGUACAUUAGUGCUGCCAAUUUUAAGUUGAAAUAUAACAUUUUAGCUGUCAAUUUUGACAAUUUAAUAUGCAAGUUUACACCUCUAUAUUGUCUUUGUAUACUUUGUAAUAAUAUCAAUAGAAUUUUAAGUGUAUACAUUAGAGGUAUUAUAUUAGUCAUUCAACAAGUAAAUAAUAUUUAUAACAAAUGUGUAUUUAUUUUGAGAGAUCACAUAUAAAUGGUGGAUAUAUAAAAUUUAAUUAGACGUAUCAUACAUACAUCAAUUACUUGUAUUACAUUUGACGUAUUCUAUUUGAUGUAUUCUAGAACUUCUCGUAUUUGAAUUUAUCUAUUGUCACUUUUUUCUUCCACGUUAAAACAAUUGAAAGCCUUAAGUCUUCAUAGCACAACAUUAUUUUUAUUAUUAUUUAUAUUGAUUCAAUUCUAAAACUUGAACAGAGACCUUUCUUGGUAUAGUCUAUUUAAAGUUCAGAUCAAAAAUCUGCUCCAAAAAGAUAGAGAGAGUUACUCAGAAAUUUUAUAACUGCUGUAAAAGUUUACAACUACUGCCACUCAAAUUUUAGAGCUAGCGGCCAUGGGCAUUCUUGUUUCAUCUCAAACAAGUGCUGUAGCUGCAAUUUUAAUCACCCUUUUAAUCAUUCUAUACACGUCGUUUCUAGUUUCAAGAAAUUUGCUUAGAAAAUGCAUAGGCAAGAAGAAAAGGGGAGCACCAGAAGCAGGUGGAGCUUGGCCAGUGAUUGGCCAUCUACACCUCUUACGAGGGCCAAAACCUCCUUACAGGGUGUUCGACAAAAUGGCUGACAAGUAUGGACCAAUCUUUAUUAUCAGGAUGGGCAAAAAUCCAGCUUUAAUCGUGAGUAAUUGGGAGAUUGCUAAAGAGUGUCUCACAACACAUGACAAAGUCUUUGCCAACCGUCCUAAAACUCUAGCCAUGGAGAUUUUAGGCUACAAUUUUUCCAUGUUUGGCUUCAGCCCAUAUGGCUCCUACUGGCGCGAGACACGCAAGAUAGCCACACUUGGGCUUCUCUCAAACCAUCGGCUUGAGAAGCUGAAGCACGUACGAGAAUACGAGGUGAAGACAUGUUUGAAGGAGUUAUAUGAGUUAUGGCACAAGAACAAAAGCACUAAUAAGAUAUUGCUAGUAGAGAUGAAGAAAUGGUUUGGGGACACCCUCCGUAAUGUGGUUUUAAGAAUGGUUGUUGGAAAGGGGUGCAAUUCAGUGGAUAGUGAAGAAUGGAAAGAACUACUGACGAGAUUUUUUGAAAUGAGUGGUAAGUUUGUGGUGUCAGAUGCGCUACCGUUUAUGAGAUGGUUGGAUAUAGGGGGUGAUGAGAGGUCAAUGAAGAAGAUUGCCAAAGAAUUAGACGUUGUUGCUCAAGGAUGGUUAGAAGAGCACAAGAGGAAGAGAGACUCUCAGGAGAUUAAAAAAGAAGAAGAUUUUAUGUAUGUCAUGCUUUCAAUCCUAGGUGAUACAGAGCAAUAUUUGGGUCGUGAUGUUGAUACAAUCAAUAAAGCUAUUUGUCUGGUAAGCCUUUCCUAACCGACUUUUUUUUAUUAUUUUAAUUAUAGUCUGAGCUCGACUCAAUCACCUCUACAUUCUCUGCAUCCACAUGAGUGGAGUAUUCGAACUUAGAACUACUUUUUCAUGUUUUAGUAUUUUAUAUUUUUAUUUUUAAUGUAGACACACUAGUAAGGUGAACUAAUCCUAAGCCUUAACAAAGUUAUUUCUUACCAAUGAAACUAGACCUUACCUUAGACCUCUUCUUUUUACUCAAGAAGUUUUACUAAUUUGUACAUAACAUUUAAUAUAAUAUUCUAUCUUUUUCAAAACAGUUUACGCUCAUAGUCAUUAAAACUGUUGUACACAUCUUUCUUCAAGAUAAGAUUAACAAACCAGAGCAACUAAUAAAUUUGUAAUAUGUGAAUUAAUAAUAUUUAGUUAUUCUAUUUCCACAUUGAAAGGAAAAAAAAGUGAAUUAAAUUGUUGAUGAAAUCAUCAUCCAUUCAUUAUGUAUCGCAUUAGUCAAUUUGGACCUACGUUUUUUAACAAGUCAUUGGUAAUGUAUUGGUAGAUUUGACAUGGUGCAUUGAAUCUAAUUCUACUAGUAAAAUUCAAAAGGUGCCAAAAAAAUAAGUGUUGAAGUCGAAUUUCAUUAAGUUCCAUUGUGAAUAACUGUAACAUAUGAAAGCAAAACAACACCUUACACACUAUCAAUUUUGCAGGCUCUUAUCUUGGGAGCAGCAGACACCACAACAGUAACACUGACAUGGGUUAUGUCUUUGCUUCUCAAUCAUCGUGAUAUUCUAAACAAGGCUCAAAAUGAACUAGAUAUUCAGGUGGGCACAAAAAGACAAGUGAAUGAAUCAGAUAUAAAAAAUUUAGUUUACUUGCAAGCCAUUCUCAAAGAAGCAAUGCGUUUGUAUCCGGCUGGGCCACUUUUAGUUCCCCAUGAGUCUAUAGAAGAAUGCACAGUUAAUGGUUACCAUGUCCCUGCCAGCACACAACUUUUUAUCAAUGCUUGGAAAAUUCAACGUGAUCCAAGUGUCUGGGAAGAGCCAUCUAAGUUUCAGCCAGAAAGAUUUUUGACGAGGCAUAAGGAUAUUGAUGUUAAGGGACAAAAUUUUGAAUUGUUACCUUUUAGUAGUGGUAGAAGAAUGUGUCCUGGAGUGUCAUUUGCCCUCCAAGUUAUGCAAUUUACACUUGCUUCUCUACUUCAGGGAUUUAAUUUUGCAACCCCAUCUAAUGAACCAGUGGACAUGGGUGAAGGAUUAGG
rnacentral:lncRNA from 1 species